rnacentral:lncRNA from 1 species
ACAGUUUUGCUGGGGUUUUAUUUUCCUUUGAGCCUGUGAUGUUAUCAAAAUAUUUGCUACUCUUGAUGGGUUUAUCCCACUUGAUGAUCUCAACCACCAAGAUCUCUGAGGCUCUUUAGUUCUAGACUAAUGUUAUCAUUACAGUACAUCCCCUGUUGCCAGGCUUUGUUCAUUAUGUGCUGAUGUAUGUGCAUACCCUGUUUCUCAUCACUCUUUGGCCUGUAUUCAGGAGCUGGAGGAAAAGAGAAAGGAGAAGGCCAAGGUCUCCUACGACAGGAGAAAGCAACUGGCGAAGCUCCGCGUCAAGGCCGAGAAGGCGGCCGAGGAGAAGUUGGGAACUCAGCUGGAGAUCCUAGCCCCGAUCAAAUACUAAGAGAGAUUAGAGCUUCCGUGCGCCAUCAGUUUUGGGAAACCUCUGUCCUCUUGUCUUUGAGUAGUUUGGUAACUCUGUGAUAGUACAACCUGGUUGGUAAACCUUUGUUAUGCAUGCAGUUCUGCUACCCUCAUUUGAAAUUUUCUACUUGGUGAACUGUUUCGUUUAUCAAAUGUGUGCAUUUGGAGAUUCUAGUGCAUGUCUAUCAGGUGAUUAUAUGUUGCUGAGGCUGUUUCUCUUUACUACAGCCAUGGCAGUCUCUUUGACCUAUCGUUGGAAAGUUAGAAGUAAUGUGUUUGCCUUUGUACAUGUCUUUCUUUUUCACUCAUCAGAUUAGCGGCAUGAAAAUUCUAGUAAAGCUACUGUUUGUGCGGGAUACUGCACACAUAUUAAAGAUAAAGAUUUGUGUACUUGAUUUCUUGGAGCAACCUUAAAAAUCUAGUUUUGGGGCUGGCCUUAAACUUCUUCCCAUAUUUUUUUAAACAAUGACACAUUUAUAUGUCGCAUCAUAAUAAUUCAAACAAUUAUACAUCGAUCUCAUACUUAAUAAUAAUUUGAAGGCAACAUUAACAUAACUGAUGUUUCCAUGAAGUGCCCACCGAUGCUCAACUAGUUCAUGAUCAUUGUGGCCCUAGCUCAUUAUCAGUGUGGCCCUCCAUGCGUUGACGCAUUAACAAAAUUUCUGGAAUUACCCCAUUCUAGCUGAAUUGGUGGUGUGUCAUCAUAUCAUGCUAUGCAAUAUCACGCAGGCGGUCAUGGUAUGGCCUCAAGCCUUUUUGAUGCCAAAAGUGUGCAGGAUCAUGAAUGGCAAAAGAGUUUGGAGAACCUCAAAUCCCCGCUCUACAUCUUAUCUACAUGUUUCUUUGUUUCCUAGCAAAGUGAGGAUUCUCGUACCAUGCUUUCGACAUCCUUUCGACAUGCUUCUUUGUCUCCUGACAAUCAAAAUAUGAAUGUCAAAUCUAUGUCAUUUGACGCCACAAGUUCUAGAAUUAUAGUUGCAUCUUUAAUCUUUCCUUUGAAUUGUCCAUGUAAUGUCGUAGGGCAAAGCUUUCACUUCCAAUGCAUGCAAUCGAUACUUUCAAGUAUUCCUGUAAAGCCUUUUGAUGCACCCAUCUCAAGAAGUCUUGCAGUGCCCUUUCAUUUGAAGCUCGAAUAUAUUCUUCUCCAAAUAUCUCAAUGAUGGACUUCGUUAAUUUAAAUAAGCUGUCAAUGCAAACUCUCUGCCAUUCAUCAAUAGAAUCAACUGUAUGCAAACAUUUUCACGGCCUCACAAUAUUUUUUCAAACUAUUGUGACCUUGUUGACCAGUUGCAUUUCUUAUUUGUUGAAUGCGUAAGAACAACCUCAUUGACAUUCAGAAUCUUCUCCUAAACGUCUUUGCACCAUAUACCAGAUUCUCACCAAAGUAGUCACCAAUAGCUUCGCGUGACCGUCUUGCUUGUUCCGACGGAGUACAAGAUGACCAGGCACUGAACCUCCCCAGUUCGGCUUCUUGUUUGCCAUCGUGUCUGCAUACAUAGCCAUCACAAGAUUGAUUUCUUCAUCCUUGUCCGAUGGCGAGUCGUCGAAAAAAGUUUGAACACGUGCGUUCAUCUACAAUCAAUAAGAAAAACUAUGAUCAACCUCAUUGUCAAACAAUUUUUUUCAAACAUACAAAUAUUUGGGUGAAGAAUUUCCUCAAAUACCGUUGUUGCGUUGGUUUCUUGAACUAGGACUUGGAGACGAAGGCCGGAGCGGGGCAGCGAAGGAGGGGAUGAGGCGAGGCAACAGAGGAGGAGACGCGCAACGAGGGACGGUGGCGCUCCCGGGCCGCGGCAGCAGCAGACGGCGGCACANNNNNNNNNNNNNNNNNNNNNNNNNNNNNNNNNNNNNNNNNNNNNNNNNNNNNNNNNNNNNNNNNNNNNNNNNNNNNNNNNNNNNNNNNNNNNNNNNNNNNNNNNNNNNNNNNNNNNNNNNNNNNNNNNNNNNNNNNNNNNGGUGGUAGGUGCUGAAAUUUUAGCCCGCCAAAAAGAUACACGAAGAAUCCUGCUAAAAUAAAAUGCCAUUUUUACGGGAUCUCCUAAUAUGGUCGUUUUACGAGAACUGUUGGAGAGGUUUUUUUUGCCUCAACUUCCGGUAAACGGUUGUUAAUUUAGAGAUAGGGGAGUUGUUGGCUUUGCUCUUAGACCGUAUAGCAUCUACAGCCGGGCUCCUUAAAUGUCUAUACGCAUGGGCUGACGGCUCGGUCAGUGAUUUCACAAAAUCGCGAUCCAACCGGGCUACUCAACCAGCCCUAUAUGUCCAGACUGACUGAUACCCCUUCUAUCUAGCCCAUAUCUAGGAUGGUAUGGCGAGGCCCGGACAUGCUUGGGAGAGUCGGACUAACGGGCGAGACCCUCAAGGACACACGUCGAAACCAAGUUGGACGCAUUCAUGCUGCCGCUCCGGCGGGCCGCUUCAGGGGCCAAAUCCGGCUAUUUCAGCCGGUCGGCGGCCCCUUAACCCUAGACAUUUCCAUUUCCACCCUCGCAGCCUACCGCCACUCCCAGGGGCGGACACAUGAUUUGGCUAAGCCCCAGGCCCUAGGCUAGCUAUAGUAUGGCUACAGUGCUACUACAGUGUUCAUGAUGUUGUACUCAAUGCAAUUUUGCUUCUUCACGCCCAGGGCCCAGGCCCCCCCGGCCUGGGCCCUGGAUCCGCCACUGCCCACUCCCAAUCCGCUCAAAGCUCGCCAUCCGUCGGUAGCCAUGGCCCGCUAGCGGAUCACCACCUACACCAUGCUCCGAAGCGUCAAUUGGAGCUCCUAAUAGAGAUCCAGUCACGACGUGGCGCUCAGAUUGUGGUGGGCUUGCCUUCGGACUCUCCGAAGGAGGAGGAGGAGCUGGACACGAACAUGAAGGACUCGGAGCCAGGGAAGGAAGAAGAGGAGGAAGGCAAGGCAGAUCUAGCGCCUUUGGCUACCGGAUUCGGCAUGAGCAACGCAUUGGUUGAGCUUGAGGUCGGCCAAGCGGAGGAGCAAGCUAACUUGAGAUGGAGGCAAACCACCACUACCUCCGUCGGGCGGGUGUGGAGCUGAAGGAAGCCUUGGCGGAGCUGGACUCCAAUGAGGAGCCGGAGUUGCGUGUGACGACCAAUCACCAGGAAGCCGGUCCGUCCGGCACAGGCACGGAGGUCGUCUACAUCAUCGAUGAUGAGUAGUGGGGUAGUACAUAACUUUUGUGUUGCACGGUAUAGUAUGGAUUUAAGAUAUGGUAUUUGAGGUAUGUGGUUGCAGCGAAUGACACAUGAUGGGUGACUGGGUCCUCUCCACGAACGCAUCCAAACGUGUCCUAAAGGGGCAUUUUUAUGGCAACAAUGCGGGUUGUAGAUGCUCUAACAGCGUCCGAUUGACCUUUAAUUCCAGACUAGAUUGCACCCGAAGCAAAACCGGCAACACUGGUCUGCGAUGUUUCCGUCGAGCCGCCGGAGAGUGCGAGCGCCACACACAUAACCGGCCACAACUCUCCCACUGGAACACGCCAUCGCUUCGGCCUCAGCCACUCGAUCAAAAGAAGCAACGGUAGAUCCGGCCACGCAAAGUCACCACCACGAGGCAAGUGGGGCGCCGUCGCUUCCAUAAACUCCCAAGGUAGAGGGGUGCUUGUAACGCCCCGAGACCGAUAUGCCAGGUGUCCUCCAGUUAUUCGUUGUUGUUGUCUUGUCUUUGCUUGCGUGUCAUGCAUUUCAUGUCAUGUCAUCAUCCGCAUUGCAUCAUCAUGUUUUAAAACUUGCAUUCGUCCGGAUUCUCCGAGUUCUCUCUGUUGUCCGUUCUGAGCCCAACCACACUUGCACGCGCCCGCGGCAUGUCCGAAAUAGUAUUUUAUAAGUGGCCGAAAAAUAUUCUCGGAAUGGGAUGAAAGUUGGCAUGUGGUGUUGUUAUGUUGUUAGUAGGUCGCCUGUCAAGUUUCAUCGCAUUCGGAGCUCGUUUGAUAGCCCAACCGUUAAAUUAUAGCGGCAAUAUAGCCGGGUCUAACAUCGGACGUUUUCGGUCUCCGGAAACAGACGCCGGGCUUCUCUCUCUUCUCUCCUCUCAGCCUGAUGCCUUUUGCACAGCCCACAAGCUCCAACCUACCCCUCUUCGCGUCCGGAGCCGUCCGAUGCGAUCGCUCGGUCCGAAAACCCCUCCUGCGCAGUGCACCGACCCCUCACGUGCGCGUCCGAGACUGUCCCGAAUCCGACCCGAUCAGUUGUCACCGUUGGACUCAGAACAUCCCCAAAUAUCUACAAAACAUUUCCGUUUUGUUAAUUGGAUUUCCUAACAUCUAUUUUCUCGGUCGUCCGAUUAUAAUCGUACGGACCGAAUACCCCCUACCCUAAUCCAACCUGCUAUAUAAAGAGACUAACCCUAGUCCUAACCUGUCCCAUCCUCCUAUUCCAUGCCGCCGCCACCACUCACUAUCCCACCUCGGGAUCUCCUCCCGAUCCAAAAACCCACCGGGUCAACCACCUUCUCCCCUCGACCCUCCCAGAUCCACCUCUCCAAUCCGCCUCUGACCACCUCCCUGGUUUACCGCGCCGCCCAAAUCGCAGCAGCCAACCAUCAUUCUCCUACCUCCUGCCCGAGCAAGCACGGCCAAGGCCACACUCACCGAAGUUCUGUACCAACCCAAGCUGCUCCGCCUCCGUUGUCGUCCCAGCGGAGUCCCGUCCUCCCGAGCUCUCCCGCAGGCAGCCCAGUGCACGCUUCAGUCAGGAUCGGGGUGGCUACCCGUGCAGCAAACAGGAGCACGAGCCCCUCCUUCCACACCCCGCAGCUGAGGGACGCCCCGACCCCGUUGUUCAUCGCCGAACCAGUAGAUGAUCCUCGCCACCCUUGCUCAAGGUCGCGCCUGCCGCUCGGAACCGCAGGCCCUCCUCAGCGCAUAGCUCCUCCCGUUUCUCCCUCUCUUAUCUCUCUCUGUUCUCAUGUUUCUCUGUCGACAGGAGCAUCCGCGCCAUGGCCUCGCUGAGCUUUGCCCGCACCAGCGCCUCGAUGAGAUCCUCGCCUGCCCUGCGCCAUGGACCCGUGCCAGCCUUCCUUCCCCGCGCCGUUCCUCGCGCGCCGGACCUCCCCAACUUCGCCGGAGCACCGCAGUGUCCGCUUGAUCCUCUGCUUCAUCGCCGCCAUGGGUCACGAGAGCCUCGAUCCCCCUGCCAUGUCGCCUCGCCAGGACAUACCGAUCGCCCGGAUCCGUGUCUCCGCCGUCUUGCCCGUUCCGGCCGGAUCCCGCCGGCUGGGCCCUGUCCCCGGUCACCGAUGCCCUCGCCGGAGACCACCGGCAAGCGGCAGCGCCAAGCCCGCCUGCAAGCCGCUCCAGCACCGCUGCUCCUCUGCUUCUCUGUCGAACAGAGGGCGCCGCGCCCGUAUCCUCCCCGCUUCGCGCAUCUGGGCCCAGCCAGCGCCAAGCCAGCCUGCCUGUCCUCUUCACCAACGGGCCAAGCCCAUGGUGAGCAGCGCCCUCCUGUUCCUCGCUGUGUGCUAUUCUGCUAUGCUGCGCCCUUCAGUUUCGGCCCAUAACCUGUUUUUUCUGUUCUGCCAAUUUCCUAAGUAUUCCGGAGAUUGCAGUUUUACAGAAACCCCCCCUAGUUUCAUGCAUUUAAUAACUUCACAACCGUGCAUCGGAUCUAAAUAAAUUAUAUAUGAAACUUGCUUAGAAUUUUGUCUAGAUUCAUAAUAUCCAACUUUCAUCUAUGUUUGAAAUGUUUAAAAUGUUGUUUGAUUAAAUUUUCUCCUAUGCCAUGUUAAAAUGCUUUAAUUCAUAACUAAUUAACCGUAGCUCCAAAUUUAAUAAACUUUAUAUGUAAAUGGGGUAGAAUUUGGCCUAGUUUAUCAUGGUGACAUUGUUUUGCAUGUUAAACAACUCUAAAAAUAUGGUUUAUGGCAUAACAGGACCUAACCUAAUAUAUGCACAUGAGGAGUUUCCGGAUUUGUUGUUCGUUGCUUCCGGCCUCAUUUAACCUUGUCUAGAUGUGUAGUUUGUUUAUGCUUCAUCUCUUGCCAUGUUAAGAACAUUUAAUAUUAUUGGGGUACAUAAACGAGAGAGAACUAAAUAAUUGAUGUGGUGUUCCGUCAAUAUGCAACCCGUUGCAUAUUGAGCUCCACUUAACUUGUAGUGUUGUUUGUGCACUUUGCCAUGCCAUGCAUAUUUAAACCGGACAUGCAUCAUACUUCGUUGUGCAUCAUUCCAUGUUUAUGUGAUGUUUGUUUACGGUGUUGUUUGCUUCUUUCCGGUGAUGCUUCUUCGAGUUGUAUCCGGUAACGUCGUGUUGUGAGGAUUCGUUCGUCUACGUCCGUUUGUCUUCUUCAUGGACUCGUUCUUCUUCCUUGCGGGAUUUCAGGCAAGAUGACCAUACCCUCGAAAUCACUUCUAUCUUUGCUUGCUAGAUGCUCGCUCUUUUGCUAUGCCUAUGCUGCGAUACCUACCACUUGCUUAUCAUGCCUCCCAUAUUGUUGAACCAAGCCCCUAACUCACCUUGUCCUAGCAAACCGUUGAUUGGCUAUGUUACCGCUUUGCUCAGCCCCUCCUAUAGCGUUGUUAGUUGCAGGUGAAGAUUGGAGCUUGUUCCAUGUUGGAACAUGGAUAUUUUGUUGGGAUACCACAAUAUAUCUUAUUUAAUUAAUGCAUCUAUAUACUUGGUAAAGGGUGGAAGGCUCGGCCUUAUGCUUGGUGUUUUGUUCCACUCUUGCCGCCCUAGUUUCCGUCAUAUCGGUGUUAUGUUCCCGGAUUUUUCGGUCCUUACGCGGUUGGGUAAUAAUGGGAACCCCUUGACAGUUCGCUUUGAAUAAAACUCCUCCAGCAAGGCCCAACCUUGGUUUUACCAUUCGCCACCUAGCCUUUUUCCCUUGGGAGUCACGCAUCCCGAGGGUCAUCUUUAUUUUAAACCCCCCGGGCCAGUGCUUGUCUAAGUGUUGGUCCAAACUAGAGCCACUUGCGGCGCCACCUCGGGGAAACUUGAGGGAUGGUUUUAGCUGUACGUAGUGUUCAUCCGGUGUUGCCCUGAGAACGAGAUAUGUGCAGCUCCUAUCAGGAUGUCGGCGCAUCGGGCGGUCUUGCUGGACUUGUUUUACCAUUGUCGAGGAUGUCUUGUAGAACCGGGAUACCGAGUUUGAUCGGAAUGUCUCGGGAGGAGGUCUAUUCCUUCGUUGACCGUGAGAGCUUGUCAUGGGCUAAGUUGGGACACCCCUGCAGGGAUUUGAACUUUUGAAAAACGUGCCCGCGGUUAUGGGCAGAUGGGAAUUUGUUAAUGUCCGGUUGUAGAUAACUUGAACCUUAACUUAAUUAAAAUGAGUCAACUGCGUGUGUAACCAUGAUGGUCUCUUUCCGGUGGAGUCCGGGAAGUGAACACGGUGUUGGAGUUAUGCUUGACGUAGGUUGUUCUAGGAUCACUUCUUGAUCAUACUUUUAUCGACCGUGCUUUGCCUUCUCUUCUCGCUCUCAUUUGCGUAUGUUAGCCACCAUAUAUGCUAGUCGCUUGCUGCAGUUCCACCUCAUACCUUUGUCUUACCCAUAAGCUUAAAUAGUCUUGAUCGCAAGGGUGCGAGAUUGCUGAGUCCCCGUGGCUCACAGAUACUUCCAAAACCAGCUUGCAGGUGUCGUUGAACCGUGCAGAUGACGCAACCAAGCUCAAGGAGGACCUCGAUGAAGAUCUUGCCCUUUGUGUUGUUUCGUUCUAGUUGAUCAGUAGUGGAGCCCAGUUGGGGUCGAUCGGGGAUCUGUGUAGCUUUUGGGGUAGUCUUCUUUUAUUUUGGGUUCCAUAGUCGGACCUUGAUUGUAUCUGGUUGAUGUAAUGCUUUAAUUCAUGUAUUGUGUGAAGUGGCGAUUGUAAGCCAACUAUGUAUUCUUUUCCCUUAUGUAUUACAUGGGUUGUGUGAAGAUUACCUCACUUGCGACAUUGCUUUCAAUGCGGUUAUGCCUCUAAGUCGUGCUUCGACACGUGGGAGAUAUAGCCGCAUCGAGGGCGUUACAAGUUGGUAUUAGAGCCUUCCCCGACCAUAGGAGCCCCCAUUGCUUGAUCGUUUUUAGCGGCCGAGUUGUGUCUAGAAAGAUGUUUUGAGUCAUUUAGGAUUUAUAUAUCGGAGAGUUUAGGAAUUCUUUUUACUCCCCAGUCUCCUCAUCGCUCUGGUAAGGCAUCCUGACGUAGAGUUUUGACUCUUCUCUUCUCAAAUUUCACUAAACUUUUAUUAGGAUCACGCGGGUAUCUUGGAAUCGUUCCGAUCGUUUUGUGAUGAGAACAUUGUCUUGGUGCCUCCUGUCAGGGGUUUUGUGGCAGUGUCCCGGGGAGUUGAGCUCCCAGGUGUUGUCGUCAUAAUUUUAUCGUUGCAGUUCUGGAAUACCUGAGUUUAGUUCGCCGACAUCGAAAAUCUCUUUUAUGCAGUUGUUGGUGAGAUAACCUCGACACCACCCAGUACUGGGGCGGGAGUUCGGGAGUAUUGCCAUAGCUUGUAUAACGGAUGCUUUUCGAAGGUUGAGGUAGAUGAUUUCCGAAGGUUUCUUGGUUAUGUGUUGAAGGAUGGAUACAGCUGGAUGUAGAAUUUGCUAGCUUUGGGUGAGAUAUUAUGCUUCCCCUGUAUCCCCAACACCUGAUUGCAUAACCAGAAAAUUUCGGGAGUUUAUAAGUGGGAAUUCAAGUAGCUCUUAGGACAUCUUUCCGUCAGAUGUAUGAUAUGAAAUUGGGGUUCGACGUCUAGUGGUCCGCCUAUUCACGGUUGGUUUUAUAGUGGUCUCGUUGUGUCUUAAAGAGUCCUUGGCUAUGCUGACUCGGGGACGCUUUGUAUGUCAUGUGCACUGCCUUGUACAUGAUGGUGUUGUACGAUCGAGCCCGUGUAGGCCCCACCAUGAAAACUUCGGACGAAAUCUCUAUCAUAUGUUUGUUCUGGCUUAUUUUGCAAGCCAAUCCUUUGUUUUGUUUUUGAAUUGUGGUAUUCGAGUUGCUUCAAUGUCAAGUGUUGAUUCCAUACCUUCCCCAAAUGGUGUUCUCAUACUCCGAUGUGAAUACUAAUCCUUCUCGAUAAUCGAGAUUGUUAUGCCAAUCUUGUUCUACCGGGGUGUCUCUCUUCAAGUGGAUCCGAUCACUUCAACAUUCACAAGAUCAAUUAUCAGUUCUUCUCAAUUUUGUUUGUUUCAUCCAUCUCCAAGUUGCUUUUGUUUUUUCCCGCCCUCCCUCCCUUGUUUUUCUUUAAGGACUCAGAUUUCUUAAUCGAGUAUCCAUCUUAUUGAUGUGAAGCCUCUCUAUUCUUUUCCUUCAAUGUUCUUAUCCGGUGAUUCUCAUGAAGAUACUAACGGAACUUCUAGUUCAUCAUUCUUCGUUUCUUUUAUCUUCUCCGGUGGUUUCAAGUCAAGCUUUGUGGAUCAUAUCCUUUUUCCUCGUUUCAAUACAUUUUCUUACCGGUGCACCUCUUUAUCAUUCACCGCUCGCUAUUCUAUUGUUCCGGAGUGCUCAAGAUAUCUCGAAGAUUCGUGUCUCCACUCUACGUUCAUUCAAGCUCUUUCGAGGAAGUUAUCUCAUUCAAGUCUUUUAAUUCAACAGGUGCAUUCUCUCUUUUAAAUCCUUCAACGGUGUUUUCUUUUGAGUGGGCCCUAACCCACAGGUCUUUUCCCAGGAUCUUACCUGACUCUUCUUAUUUUCCCGGAGCUAUCCUCAAAUUUCUUUUUGAAGUUUGACGUAAGAACGAUUUAUCAUCAGUCAAAUGCUUUUCUCCAAGAUCUGUCGAAUUAUUUUCAUCGUUGGCUCAACCUCUUCGUUUUGAUUCUUCUGGAGUGUCUAAAUAAUUCUUGGUGGUGUUUCUCGUCGUCAUUCUCAACAUUUGAAGACCGAAGAAGAGUUUUUCCUCCAUAUCUUAUCCGUUCUCUCAGAGACUCGUGGUUCUAGCUUGAUGCCAUCCUCUCAUAAUUGUUUUGAUCGUGAGAAUUCUUUUCACCCACCCGGAGCAAUUCAAGAUUCUUUUCAGUUUGUUUCUCCGGAGCCCAUCAUCUCAGAAUUUAUUCAUUCUCAGCUUUCAGCUAUGGUUCUCCAAAUCUUACCGGUGAUUCGUUCAAGUGAUCUCUAAUCAGUUUGUGAUCCCUUCGUUCUCAUGUAUCUAGAUUCUCUCGAGCAUCUUCGUUCAUUUGCAAAUUCUUCCCGGUGAUUCGUUAUCUUUUAUUCGUUCUUUUUCAAUUCUUACGGUGGUUCGUUCAAGAGUUCUCUUCCUUGGUUAUUAUAUCAAUGCAUUCGUGCUUUCCAAAUGCUAACGGUGGUUCAUUGAAGUCUUUUCUCAAGUUUGUGCUAUAUAUAUCUUAAUCCUUUCUACGAGAAUAAGUAAUAUGCUAAAUCCGUUCAUUGUCAUCAAUUUAAUUGGUGAAGGAUAAGCAUAACAUAAUUCUUAUUCUUGUUCAUCCAAGUGAUUAAUUCCUUACUCCGGAGGCUCAUCAAAUUCUUGAUUUCACUUGUUCAUCUUUCUUUUCUGGAGUUCCAAGCUUUUCCGCAUUAUCUCGUCGCAAAGCUCCAUCUAAAUCAUUGCAAGGCUUCACCUUGUGUUUUCAACUACCCUUUCUUUCCGUUUGAUCAUUCUUUUGUUAACGGAGUUCUUCAUGGAGGCUCUACAUGAUGGUUCAUCAAGAAUUUAAUUCCUUCCCGAAGUGUUCAUUGAGAUUCUUUUCAGAGGAGCUCAAGCAAUCUCCAUCUUGCAACCCGGAGUGCAAUUCUUUCUUCCGUAUCAUUGGAGGUGGUAUUUUGUCAUUCUUGAUAAUCUGAGUUCAUGCUUCAUGAUUCGAAUGUUGUUAAGAAUGAGAUAUUUUAAAUCCAUCAACCUCUUCGUUGGAAUUAUCUUGGGUUAUAUUUUACCUAAAGCCUUCCCUAAGGAUUGUUGCUAUCUAUGGUGAUUAUAAAUGAUCCAAGUUCUUCAUUUAUCCUCCGGGUGAAAGAAUCUUCUCGUCUCCUUGUUCGUAUCAAUCCAAUUUAUCAUUUUCAUUAGUGGCAGAAUUUCACCUCGUAGUUUUGAGAUGUUCUUCAUAAGCCCACUACAAGCUUACUCUUUUCGUUGUUGGUGCAAUAACUCCGUUCGACUUUUCUCCUGAGGAUGCCUUUUCAAGCUCUUUUAUGGUAGAAGUUGGCAUUUUCUUCUCCAUUCUUUUAUUUCAAUUAUCUAUAUUUCUAUUCUUUCGUUCCGGAGGCAUUGUGGUGUUGUUCUUUUCACCCAUCUUCUUGUUUGGUCAGGACCGUGUUCUUUUCUCGGUUUAUCCAUUUAACCGGAGUGUUGUGCCCUUCUGUUCAAGUUCUUUUCGUCUUAUCAAGUUUCAUAUCUCUUUCUACCGGAGUGCUGUCCGAAUUUGUUCUUCCUUGUUCCUCUUCCCUACCGGAGUGUUUUCAACUUUGUUCUUCUUUGUUGCAUUAUUCCUUUCAAUUUGUUCAACCUCUCAAGGUUCUUUGGUUUCACUCGUUUGUCAAAGAAGCAACUUAGUUUUACCCCACUUAUCUUUCUCUUCCGUUUUCCCCUCCGGUGCCAUUCUAGAUCUCGGGACGAGAUCCUCUCGUAGUGGUGGAGCGUUGUAACGCCCCGAGACCGAUGUGCCAGGUGUCCUCCAGUUAUUCGCUGUUGUUGCCUUGUCUUUGCUUGCGUGUCAUGCAUUUCAUGUCAUGUCAUCAUCCGCGUUGCAUCAUCAUGUUUUAAAACUUGCAUUCGUCCGGGUUCUCCGAGUUCUCUCUGUUGUCCGUUCUGAGCCCAAUCACACUUGCACGCGCCCGCGGCAUGUCCAAAAUAGUAUUUUAUAAGUGGCCGGAAAAUGUUCUCAGAAUGGGAUGAAAGUUGGCAUGUGGUGUUGUUAUGUUGUUAGUAGGUCGCCUGCCAAGUUUCAUCGCAUUCGGAGCUUGUUUGAUAGCCCAACCGUUAAACUAUAGCGGCAAUAUAGCCGGGUCUAACGUCGGGCGUUUUCUGUCUCCGGAAACAGAAGCAGGGCUUCUCUCUCUUCUCUCCUCUCAACCUGAUGCCUUCUGCACAGCCCACAAGCUCCAACCUACCCCUCUUCGCGUCCGGAGCCGUUCGAUGCGAUCGCACGGUCCGAAAACCCCUCCUGCGCAGUGCACCGACCCCUCACAUGCGCGUCCGAGACUGUCCCGAACCCGACCCGAUCAGUUGUCACUGUUGGACUCAGAACAUCCCCAAAUAUCUACAAAACAUCUCCGUUUUGUUAAUUGGACUUCCUAACAUAUAUUUUCUCGGUCGUCCGAUUAUAAUCGUACGGACCGAAUACCCCCUACCCUAAUCCAACCUGCUAUAUAAAGAAACUAACCCUAUUCCUAACCUGUCCCAUCCUCCUAUUCCAUGCCGCCGCCACCGCUCACCAUCCCACCUCGGGAUCUCCUCCCGAUCCAAAAACCCACCGGGCCAACCACCUUCUCCCCUCGACCCUCCCAGAUCCACCUCUCCAAUCCGCCUCCGACCACCUCCCUGGUUUACCGCGCCGCCCAAAUCGCAGCAGCCAACCAUCAUUCUCCUACCUCCUGCCCGAGCAAGCACGGCCAAGGCCACGCUCACCGAAGUUCUGUACCAACCCAAGCUGCUCCGCCUCCGUUGUCGUCCCAGCGGAGUCUCGUCCUCCCGAGCUCUCCCGCAGGCAGCCCAGUGCACGUUUCAGUCGGGAUCGGGGUGGCUACCCGUGCAGCAAACAGGAGCACGAGCCCCUCCUUCCACACCCCGCAGCUGAGGGACGCCCUGACCCCGUUGUUCCUCGCCGAACCAACAGAUGGUCCUCGCCACCCUUGCUCAAGGUCGCGCCAGCCGCUCGGAACCGCAGGCCCUCCUCAGCGCAUAGCUCCUCCCGUUUCUCCCUCUCUUAUCUCUCUCUGUUCUCAUGUUUCUCUGUCGACAGGAGCAUCCGCGCCAUGGCCGCGCUGAGCUUUGCCCACACCAGCGCCUCGACGAGAUCCUCGCCUGCCCCGCGCCAUGGACCCGUGCCAGCCUUCCUUCCCCGCAUCGUUUCUCGCGCACCGGACCUCCCCAACUUCGCCGGAGCACCGCAGUGUCCGCUUGAUCCUCUGCUUCAUCGCCGCCAUGGGUCACGAGAGCCUCGACCCCCCUGCCAUGUCGCCUCGCCAGGACAUAUCGACCGCCCGGAUCCGUGUCUCCGCCGUCUUGCCCGUUCUGGCCGGAUCCCGCCGGCUGGGCCCUGUCCCCGGUCACCGAUGCCCUCGCCGGAGACCACCGGCAAGCUGCGGCGCCAAGCCCGCCUGCAAGCCGCUCCAGCACCGCUGCUCCUCUGCUUCUCUGUCGAACAAAGGGCGCCGCGCCCGUAUCCUCCCCGCCUCGCGCAUCUGGGCCCAGCCAGCGCCAAGCCAGCCUGCCCGGCCUCUUCACCAACGGGCCAAGCCCAUGGUGAGCAGCGCCCUCCUGUUCCUUGUUGUGUGCUAUUCUGCUAUGCUGCGCCCUUCAGUUUCGGCCCAUAACCUGUUUUUUCUGUUCUGCCAAUUUCCUAAGUAUUCCGGAGAUUGCAGUUUUACAGAAAACCCCCCUAGUUUCAUGCAUUUAAUAACUUCACAACCGUGCAUCGGAUCUAAAUAAAUUAUAUAUGAAACUUGCUUAGAAUUUUGUCUAGAUUCAUAAUAUCCAACUUUCAUCUAUGUUUGAAAUGUUUAAAAUGUUGUUUGAUUAAAUUUGCUCCUAUGCCAUGUUAAAAUGCUUUAAUUCAUAACUAAUUAACCGUAGCUCCAAAUUUAAUAAACUUUAUAUGUAAAUGGGGUAGAAUUUUGCCUAGUUUAUCAUGGUGACAUUGUUUUGCAUGUUAAACAACUCUAAAAUAUGGUUUAGGGCAGAACAGGACCUAACCUAAUAUAUGCACAUGAGGAGUUUCCGAAUUUGUUGUUCGUUGCUUCCGGCCUCAUUUAACCUUGUCUAGAUGUGUAGUUUGUUUAUGCUUCAUCUCUUGCCAUGUUAAGAACAUUUAAUAUUGUUGGGGUACAUAAACGAGAGAGAACUAAAUAAUUGAUGUGGUGUUCCGUCAAUAUGCAACCCGUUGCAUAUUGAGCUCCACUUAACUUUUAGUGUUGUUUGUGCACUUUGCCAUGCCAUACAUAUUUAAACCGGACAUGCAUCAUACUUCGUUGUGCAUCAUUCAUGUUUAUGUGAUGUUUGUUUACGAUGUUGUUUGCUUCUUUCCGGUGAUGCUUCUUCGAGUUGUAUCCGGUAACGUCGUGUUGUGAGGAUUCGUUCGUCUACGUCCGUUUGUCUUCUUCAUGGACUCGUUCUUCUUCCUUGCGGGAUUUCAGGCAAGAUGACCAUACCCUCGAAAUCACUUCUAUCUUUGCUUGCUAGAUGCUCGCUCUUUUGCUAUGCCUAUGCUGCGAUACCUACCACUUGCUUAUCAUGCCUCCCAUAUUGUUGAACCAAGCCCCUAAUCCACCUUGUCCUAGCAAACCGUUGAUUGGCUAUGUUAUCGCUUUGCUCAGCCCCUCUUAUAGCGUUGUUAGUUGCAGGUGAAGAUUGGAGCUUGUUCCAUGUUGGAACAUGAAUAUUUUGUUGGGAUAUCACAAUAUAUCUUAUUUAAUUAAUGCAUCUAUAUAUUUGGUAAAGGGUGGAAGGCUCGGCCUUAUGCCUGGUGUUCUGUUCCACUCUUGCCGCCCUAGUUUCCGUCAUAUCGGUGUUAUGUUCCCGGAUUUUUUGAUCCUUACGCGGUUGGAUAAUAAUGGGAACCCCUUGACAGUUCGCUUUGAAUAAAACUCCUCCAGCAAGGCCCAACCUUGGUUUUACCAUUCGCCACCUAGCCUUUUUCCCUUGGGAGUCGCGCAUGCCGAGGGUCAUCUUUAUUUUAAACCCCCCGGGCCAGUGCUUGUCUAAGUGUUGGUCCAAACUAGAGCCACUUGCGGCGCCACCUCGGGGAAAUUUGAGGGCUGGUUUUAGCUGUACGUAGUGUUCAUCCGGUGUUGCCCUGAGAACGAGAUAUGUGCAGCUCCUAUCAGGAUGUCGGCGCAUCGGGCGGUCUUGCUGGACUUGUUUUACCAUUGUCGAGGAUGUCUUGUAGAACCGGGAUACCGAGUUUGAUCGGAAUGUCUCGGGAGGCGGUCUAUUCCUUCGUUGACCGUGAGAGCUUGUCAUGGGCUAAGUUGGGACACCCCUGCAGGGAUUUGAACUUUUGAAAGCCGUGCCCGUGGUUAUGGGUAGAUGGGAAUUUGUUAAUGUCCGGUUGUAGAUAACUUGAACCUUAACUUGAUUAAAAUGAGUCAACUGCGUGUGUAACCGUGAUGGUCUCUUUCCGGCGGAGUCCGGGAAGUGAACACGGUGUUGGAGUUAUGCUUGACGUAGGUUGUUCUAGGAUCACUUCUUGAUCAUACUUUUAUCGACCGUGCUUUGCCUUCUCUUCUCGCUCUCAUUUGCGUAUGUUAGCCACCAUAUAUGCUAGUCGCUUGCUGCAGCUCCACCUCAUACCUUUGUCUUACCCAUAAGCUUAAAUAGUCUUGAUCGCGAGGGUGCGAGAUUGCUGAGUCCCCGUGGCUCACAGAUACUACCAAAACCAGCUUGCAGGUGUCGUUGAACCGUGCAGAUGACGCAACCAAGGAGCUCGAUGAAGAUCUUGCCCUUUGUGUUGUUUCGUUCUAGUUGAUCAGUAGUGGAGACCAGUUGGGGUCGAUCGGGGAUCUGUGUAGCUUUUGGGGUAGUCUUCUUUUAUUUUGGGUUUCGUAGUCGGACCUUGAUUGUAUCUGGUUGAUGUAAUGCUUUAAUUCAUGUAUUGUGUGAAGUGGCGAUUGUAAGCCAACUAUGUAUUCUUUUCCCUUAUGUAUUACAUGGGUUGUGUGAAGAUUACUUCACUUGCAACAUUGCUUUAAAUGCGGUUAUGCCUCUAAGUCAUGCUUCGACACGUGAGAGAUAUAGCCGCAUCAAGGACGUUACAGUGUCGUUCCAUAGGUUGCUUGUGGACGUGGUUGUGGUACUCGCGCCGCCACCGUGCCGAGCGUGAGUCGUGACUCAGGCUUUCACUCGGCUAAUCAAAAGCUGAUGGCGUACCUGUCUUCGGAUUCAACCGCACGUGCGUGCCACGUCACCCAAUAUUUAUAUAUCGUAUUUAUUUAUAGCAAUAGCAUCUCACAUGUCUAAAUCAAACCGAUCCUUGAGCAUACUUUUCUGGCCAUUUGUGUUGAUGGAGGAAUGUGAGGUAUCAGCAUCAAGGACUCCGUGGCCCAUUGGAUAAGGCGCUGGUCUACGAAACCAGAGAUUCUGGGUUCGAUCCCCAGCGGAGUCGUUUUUUUUAUCAUUUUUUGGUUCUAUAUAUACUAUAUAUAUCAGCAAAUACUCCCUAUUAGAUUUGUCCAAAGUCAAUCUUAUCCAACUUUGACCAAGUUUAUAUAAAAAAUUAUAGACAUUCACAUAACAACAUCAAUAUCAUUAGAUUCAUCUUGGAAUAUAUUUUCAUAUUAUAUUUAUUAGAUAUUAUAUAUGCUAAUAAUUUCUAAUAUAAAUUUAGUCAAACUUAGCAAAGUUUGACUUUCAGCAAAUCCAAUGUGCAGAGUAAAAAGGACCGGAGGGAGUACUUCCAUCCUUCGCUCAACUCAACAAAGAAAAGAAAAAUUCUUCACUUUCGUGAUACAGACAGCCAACUCAGCGGAAUCGCUUUUUUAUCAUUUUUUUGUUCUAUAUAUACUAUAUAUAUUAGCAAAUACUCCCUAUUAGAUUUGUCCAAAGUCAAUCUUAUCCAACUUUGACGAAGUUUAUAUAAAAAAUUAUAGACAUUCACAUAACAACAUCAAUAUCAUUAGAUUCAUCUUGGAAUAUAUUUUCAUAUUAUAUUUAUUAGAUAUUAUAUAUGCUAAUAAUUUCUAAUAUAAAUUUAGUCAAACUUAGCAAAAUUUGACUUUCAGCACAUCCAAUGUGCAGAGUAAAAAGGACAGGAGGGAGUACUUCCAUCCUUCGCUCAACUCAACAAAGAAAAGAAAAAUUCUUCACUUUCGUGAUACAGACAGCCAACUCAGCGGAGUCGUUUUUUUUAUCAUUUUUUUGUUCUAUAUAUACUAUAUAUAUCAGCAAAUACUCCCUAUUAGAUUUGUCCAAAGUCAAUCUUAUCCAACUUUGACCAAGUUUAUAUAAAAAAUUAUAGACAUUCACAUAACAACAUCAAUAUCAUUAGAUUCAUCUUGGAAUAUAUUUUCAUAUUAUAUUUAUUAGAUAUUAUAUAUGCUAAUAAUUUCUAAUAUAAAUUUAGUCAAAUUUAGCAAAGUUUGACUUUUAGCAAAUCCAAUGUGCAGAGUAAAAAGGACCGGAGGGAGUACUUCCAUCCUUCGCUCAACUCAACAAAGAAAAGAAAAAUUCUUCACUUUCGUGAUACAGACAGCCAACUCAAUAUAUCUGUCGUCUGUUUGAGGCAUGCCAUUGCCGCCCAAAAUAUUACGCAUCUUGACAAUUAUCCGUCAGUUGCUGUAAGUGUAGGAAACGAUACACUAUUUUUUAGAUAUAUAACAAAAAGGCUACAUGGCCCUGCUUUUAUUUAAUAGAAAGCAGCAAGGACACGAUAUGCUGUUACAAAGGCCAAGUCAGCUAAUCAAGCGAUUUUCGACAAUAAUCGCUGCUCCGGGCCUCCACUCCACCUGAAGAACAGAGGUUUCCCUUCUCUUCAGAUCAGCCAUUCUAUCUCCUCACCCAUGGAGGAGGCCACAGGACAAGGCAGGCUUUCCUCCGUGUUUUGAGGAUCGCGGCAGAACUACAACAAGGCCGAUGAACCACGACGCGCAAUCAAGUUUUCAUGGCGUCGAUGAUGCCGCAUCGCUGCAAAGGGAGAGGGGAGAAGGGUGUCAUCAUGUUAAGUCAACUGUGCACAACAACCGUAGAGGGGACUGCUGUCAUGGCAGGAAACAAGGAUAUACCAUUUCAGGGGAAGGUUGUCACGUACAGCGAUGCUAGGCGCAGCAGCACUUCCCCUUGGAGUCCCUUCGAGCGACGGCCAUUUCAGCGGCACCGCUAUGCCGUGCAGUAAUCCAAUCUUUGCACAUGGCGCUGGUCAUCGACCGCAUGACCGGAGGACAUGACAUGACCAGAGGACAUGACGUGGAUACCGUGUCCACUAAUUUCCCAGGAGUAUCCUUGGCAGUUGUGGUGAAACAGAAUCCCCAACAGCCUACAUGCAGGAAAUCAGAGCUUCAGUACUUAAUAGAAAAGAUGCCAUGGAUUCAUGGUGCGCCAAAUAAAUAAACCUAUCAUAAACGUGCAUUCAUAGUUUUCCAUUCCAAAUAACUAACAGCACCAUAUUUUAUAGGAUAAUGCAACCGAAAAUUGGCAUGUAUCAUCAACAUUUCAAUAUCAUCUAGAAGAACCAGGCAAUUAUAUAUAGCCUAUGUACGGAACCAUGCGGAAGGAAUAUAGACUUACUUUAACAGCAAAUCAUCUGUUGAUCAGGAUCAAUGAAUUCAUCCCUCCGAUACUGCAGUUGCUUUCUGCAGGCGCAGAUUUGUUCAUCAAGUAUCCAUCAAAAACAUUGUUUCUUAACAAAGGGCCAUAGAACAGUCUAGCCUACAUAGUUAACAUAAAGGAAUUAAUUAUGGUUGCUAGUGAUCAACAGUUUUAGGUUCAAGUUUCGAGUGCACUAAGUUUGUUGAAGUACCAAUAAUGAUCGGAAUACAAAUGAAAGAUGGAGAUCACAAAAACUCACAAAUGGUACAGCCUCACACAUCAAAUUCAUAGGAUUAUGAAUCAUGAUAUACUUCUACCAGAAAGCUAUUGUGCCUAUUUCCAAAAUUGUAUUAAGCAAGCUAGAUACUCCAUGUAUGUGAACACCAAACAAUUUAAUAGGGGCAGACAUAUUAUAGGUUGACAAGAGAAAACAAUAUCAUCAAACUACGGACAACAUAAAUUAACAGCAUUCAAACAUGAGCAGUUGAGCAAAAAUACCAAAUGAGAAGAUUUAUGUAGAACUUGUCUUCUAUGUGCAUUCACAGUUCCUAAACUACAGUUGCAUGCGAUAUAAAUACUGCACCACCAAAAAAACGUAUUCAUAUCCAUCAUUUUUUGGUUGAGAGGUUAAACAAAAUGAACUUCCAGGAAAGUUUGCUCAAUUUACCUUACUCUCAGUCUUGAGACGUAUGCCAUACUAGAGUUGCAAAUUCUAGUAAGAGGGUGGCCUGAGUUCCUUUAGUCGCCGAACAACUUGCUUCAUUGUGGGCCUAGAAGAAAGAGAGUCCACAGUGCACUUGAUACCGAGGUGCAGAAUCUCAACCAAGUCAUCAUGCGGAGCCACAUCCCACAGCCCUUCUAUGAAGAACUCACGAGCUCGGCCCUUCUGCAGAAGCAUGCAAGCCCAGGCAACUAUGUUGAAUCCAUUUCCAUACGGAGAAAAGGAAGGGUCCAGUGCUUUUUUGUCUGAAAUAAGUUCAAGCAGUACAACUCCGUAGCUGUACACAUCAGCCUUAUCAGAAACACGGCAAGUCAUCGCAUACUCUGGAGCAACAUAUCCAAAAGUACCCGCGACACCGGUGGUUGCAUGAGUUUCUGAAUUCCCAAGUAGUCUUGCUAAUCCAAAAUCAGAAAGGUAUGCAGUGUACUCAUUGUCAAGCAAGAUGUUGCUUGGCUUCACAUCCCGGUGCAGAAUACGUGGGACACAAUUAUCAUGAAGGUAUGCAAGUGCACGUGCAAUAUCUAGAGCAAUUUUGUGAAGCAUUCUCCAAUCGAUUGGUCUCUUUGUCCUUUCUUGUAUGAACCUUUCCAAGUUACCGCCGGGCAGAAAAUUGUAAAUUAGAAACAUCUCUGAAUCACUGAGGUGGUACCCUAUGAGCGUUACAAGAUUGUCAUGCCGACACCUUCCAAGAGUUUUCACCUCUGCUUGGAACUGCUGAAUACCUUGGAACCUUCCAAUAGCGAGCCUCUUUAUUGCCACCAGAAUGCCUGGUGCAAUCUCAGCUUUGUAUGUUGCUCCAAAGCCACCACUUCCAAUGCAAUUGCUUGCAUUAAAACUGCCAGCAGCGCGUACAACGGUCUCAUAUGUCAAAGGAGCACCAAUAUCCACAAAAACAGUCACUUCCCUUCUCCUGUUAGAACGCCUUGAUGGUCUUGAUGCACAUUUACGAGUGUAAAUGUAAAGGAUGAUCAGGGCCAAGAGAACUGCAACAAUCGCUGAUGCUGAGGUUAUUGAGGCAAUCUCUAUUUUGGUGAAGCCUCCACCAUCGCUGGGUGUAUUCUCAGGUUCUGGACUACCAUCAUUCUCACUGAGUGCUCGCACAUUCGAAUGCAACGGCCCAGCCAAGUUAUUGAAUGAAAUGUUAAAAACAGACGGUGAUGAUACUGAAGGGGUAAGAUCGGCAAUGUUUCCAGAGAGCUCAUUAUUGUUCAGCAGAAGUGUGGUGAGGCCUCUCAGUGUCACAAUAUUACUAGGGAUAUUCCCAGAGAGAGAAUUAGAUGACAGAUCUAAAACCUCCAGUGAUUUCAACUGCCCCAAAGAGGACGGUAUCUGACCAGUGAUAUUGUUUGCAGCUAACGAGAGAAAUUUCAAGCUCUUGAGGUCUUUGAAACUGGCAGGUAUUUGACCAACCAGAAAGUUUUUGCUGAUGUCCAUCUUUACAAGAGCACCCAACAAACCAAUGUUAGCAGGUAACACUCCUGAAAUUUGAUUCUCGGCUAGAACCAAAACUCUGAUGGCAUUGCAUUUUGAGCAGAUUUCUUCUGUAAGCUCACCAGAUAUCUUGUUGUCUCGGAAGCUGACGAUCAAACCAUUUAAGUUGCUGCACUGUUCCAACAGAAUUGCAUCCAAUGAUCCAGUGAAGUUAUUGUGAUCAAGAAUUAAUGCAUACAAGGUCCUGUUUCCAUAUCUGUGUGCGCUAACAGGCAAGGAUGUAAGACGGCCUCCAAACUUGUUCUUUGCGAAAUUAUGGUAUACAACUGAACACUCUCCUGAUUCACAGUAACCCAAUGAUAGUUGUGCUACAGCUCGGGACAUGAAGGGUGAAGAAUAGCCAGAUGUCACGCCAUCCAACGGUUGCUGUGACGCACACUCUUUGUUCGCAGACGCUGGAAUUGAGCCUGAGAGUUUGUUGCCACUGACAUCAAUCACAUCCAUGCAAUGCAGAUGAAGAUUUUUAUCAAGCGAACCGGACAAUCUAUUGGAACUGAGGUUGAGAAACUUGAGGUUUCGACACUGCCCUAGCUCCCUAGGAAUCACUCCAGCAAGUAAAUUACCUGCGAGAUUGACCAUCUCCAAACUUUGACAGCUUCCCCAAUUGCUUGGGAGAUUCCCUUUCAGGCCCGCCUUCGGCGCCCAUAACAACCUAAGCUUUGGCAAAGCUGUGACACUCUCCGGAAUCUCUCCCUCAAAGAGAUUGAACUCAUGUGAUUUCACUGCAUCAAACUGGCUCGACAACACGAGAACCGACAAACCUGAGCAAUUCCCUAGCUCCCUGGGCACCAGACCGCUCAAUCUGUUACCGGAUACGUCCAAAACCCGCAGCUUGCUCAGCCGUCCAAGCUCUGGUGGGAUGGAACCGUCCAACAUAUUGGAGAAGAGGCGCAACGAGCGGAGCUGCGUGCAGCUCCCCAGAGCAGAGGGGAUGCUCCCAGCAAGAAGGUUCCGGGACAGGUCGAGCUGCCUCAGCCUGGGGAGGCCGCCGACGACCGCCGGCACGGACCCGUUGAGCCGGUUGCCGGAAAGAUCCAAGAACUUCAGCUCCGUGCAGCUGCAGAGGGAGGCAGGGAUCUCGCCGCUGAGCGCGUUGGAGGAGAGGUUGAGCACCCUCAGCCGCGGCGGGAAGGCGGGCGGGAGGGCGCCCCGGAGCGAGUUCCCGGCGAGGUUGACCCCCUCGAGCUUCUCCAGCCGCCAGAUCUCCGCGGGGAUCUCGCCGAAAAGGCCGAGGGAGGGCAGGGAGAGGUGCUUGAGCUCGGUGAGGAGCCCGACCGACGUGGGCAGCUGGGCGGCGACCCCGCUCCCGCUCCCGCGCGGGAAGCUGGAGGGCACGUGGAGGGCGACUACCCGGGACCUCGCAUCGCAGGCGACCCCCGGCCAGGAGCAGUGGUCCGCGCCCGGCGACCACCGGCGGAGCAGCCCGGAGGAGGGGACGGCGUCCCUGAGCCGGAGAAGCGCCGAUCUGUCCCGCUCCCGGCCACGUGGCGACGGGGGCGAGGAAGAGACGGAGACGGCGAGCAGGAGCAGGAGCAGCAGGACGGCGGCGGUGCUCCGGCGAGCGGCCACCAUCUCCGCCCAGCCGAAGGCGACGGGCGGCCGGGGGUGCUGUGGUUGGUGCAGCGGAGGCGACGACCGACGAGGGAGGGAGGGGGGGAGAGGGAGGGGCAAGGCAAGCUCACAUGGGGAAGAAGAAGAGACCGGGCGCGCGCGCGAUAUCGGGGAAGUCGGGGGGGACGGGGGCGAUAUUUUUGCUGCGCCUUGUCUGUUGUCUCCCUCCGUUUUUUGGUUGGUGCUGCUGGAGUGCUGGUGCUGGUGCCGGUCCUCCCCCCGCUUCCCCUUCUGUUGCUUCCUUCGCUGCACUUUCCUCGUCGCCUCCCCCGUCCUCGCGCUGCCCCUCCACUGAUAAUUCCUUCCUCCCUUUCUUUAUUUUUGUAGAAAGAAAAUCGUUUGGGAUUGGACCGUGUUGCCCUCGGAAAGAUGGGUUUUGUUGGCUGCCGGUGGUGCCCAUGCUUUUGGGUUUUGACCGUGUCGUGCCUGCCUUGCUCCCAUUUUCUUUGGGAUGUGGAUGGGGUUAAAGCAGGAUGGUUUCACACAUCAUUGGAACAAACAACAACAACAAAGCCUUUAGUCCCAAACAAGUUGGGGUAUGCUAGAGGUGAAACCCAUAAGAUCUCGCAACCAACUCAUGGCUCUGGCACAUGGAUAGCAAGCUUCCACGCACCCCUGUCCAUAGCUAGCUCUUUGUUGAUACUCCAAUCCUUCAGGUCUCUCUUAACGGACUCCUCCCAUGUCAAAAUCGGUCGACCCCGCCCUCUCUUGACAUUCUCCGCACGCUUUAGCCGUCCGCUAUGCACUGGAGCUUCUGGAGGCCUGCGCUGAAUAUGCCCAAACCAUCUCAAACGAUGUUGGACAAGCUUCUCCUCAAUUGGUGCUACCCCAACUCUAUCUCGUAUAUCAUCAUUCCGGACUCGAUCCUUCCUCGUGUGGCCACACAUCCAUCUCAACAUACGCAUCUCCGCCACACCUAACUGUUGAACAUGUCGCCUUUUAGUCGGCCAACACUCCGCGCCAUACAACAUUGCGGGUCGAACCGCCGUCCUGUAGAACUUGCCUUUUAGCUUUUGUGGCACUCUCUUGUCACAGAGAAUGCCAGAAGCUUGGCGCCACUUCAUCCAUCCGGCUUUGAUUCGAUGGUUCACAUCUUCAUCAAUACCCCCAUCCUCCUGCAACAUUGACCCCAAAUACCGAAAGGUGUCCUUCCGAGGUACCAGCUGGCCAUCAAGGCUAACCUCCUCCUCCUCACAGCUAGUAGUACUGAAACCGCACAUCAUGUACUCGGUUUUAGUUCUACUAAGCCUAAACCCUUUCGAUUCCAAGGUUUGUCUCCAUAACUCUAACUUCCUAUUUACCCCCAUCCGACUAUCGUCAACUAGCACCACAUCAUCCGCAAAGAGCAUACACCAUGGGAUAUCUCCUUGUAUACCCCUUGUGACCUCAUCCAUCACCAAUGCAAAAAGAUAAGGGCUCAAAGCUGACCCCUGAUGCAGUCCUAUCUUAAUCGGGAAGUCAUCGGUGUCGACAUCACUUGUUCGAACACUUGUCACAACAUUAUUGUACAUGUCCUUGAUGAGGGUAAUGUACUUUGCUGGGACUUUGUGUUUCUCCAAGGCCCACCACAUGACAUUUCGCGGUAUCUUAUCAUAGGCCUUCUCCAAGUCAAUGAACACCAUAUGCAAGUCCUUCUUAUGCUCCCUAUAUCUCUCCAUAAGUUGUCGUACCAAGAAAAUGGCUUCCAUGGUCGACCUCCCAGGCAUGAAACCAAACUGAUUUUUGGUUUACAUUUAACAUCUUAGUUCCAAAAAAAAUUACCGCAACGACUAAACGGUGACGGCCUCUUCAAUUCACAUGAUUUCCCAAACACGGGAAUAGUAGGAAUAGAGUGGCAUGACAUGAUCGAUACUACAGGAUGUGAGGAUGUUUGAUUGUGCAGAGGAACGAAGGAUUUUUUUUUUCAAAAAAGUUGGGGUGGAUGAAAAAUUUGCUACACCCUUUGAUCUAUACUAAUUGUUGUUGAUCUAGUACAAAGAAUACUAAGGAAAAAUUCAUGUGGUUUGCAAUGAGACGAAACAAACAACCCAUGUAGGCAAAAGAAAUCCUAAGGAUUAGAAUCCUCCGAGAUUCCUUUGAAAUAAGUUUUAUUGCUACAACCAACAACCUCAAAGACAUCCCCGUCAAGGCCUAGCGAGAUGCCUCCUACAGUACUAACAUAAGGCAAUAAGUGAUAAGAGUAAUUCAUGUGACCAAUAAUACUAUGAAGGAAACCAUCGGCAGUGAUUUCAUGUUUGGUUUCUUAAAAUCCAACAAAAUCAAGUUUGUAUUUAGUAAUUAAAUCUGUGAGGCGUUGUGUUUUGCCAUCUUAACCUAAACCACAUAUGUUUCAAAACAUUCCCAUCGUGAUAUCUUAAAGGGGUGAGACAGAUUGCAAGGCCGUGACUUAGCUGCAUUAUCUAGCAAAACUAUAGAAUUAAAAGUGCCCCCGGUCCAUAUUCAGCAAAAAUGCAAACAACAUGAGUACAAACUCCAGUCUCAGAAAAACUAUCAUCAUCAAGCACAUUUGGUAAAGAUAUCUCCGGGUUUUGAGUAGAAAAAUCCAGACAACUUAAUUUUUCUAAGGUGACCAUGUUACUAAUGAUUUAAUUUUAUCAUGCAGUUUUUACCAACAAUAAAAUAAUAUGAACAACACAUGCAUGAUUACCCAAAGUAGAGCAAGAAAACUCAGUAGAUGACUUACCUUCAAAAGUAGGGGGAUCUCCAAAUUUUUCUUCAUCUUGUUGGUAGCAAGUUUAGCCAUGACAUUUUCUCUGUCAUGGUUCAUGGUAUUAGACCUUUGUAUAACCACUGGAUCCCACUUGCUAGUGUUAACACAAGUUUCUUCUCAAACAAGACCUCCUUCAGGAGACAGCUGCCAAGAACAUCAUAUGCAGCAGGUUGGGCAGAUUUUCCAAUAGACAUUAUUUCCAAAGCAUCAAGAACGGGCCCUCAAAUACUCCCAUUCCAUCUUCCAAAUAAACUUCAUUCUCAUCAAUUUCAGACCCAGAAUCACCCACAUGCUCGAGGAUCUCAGAGCGGUUUACCUUCUGGAUGGACACAGGGGUAUCAACCACAUUGUGAGCGGUUUUAACCUGGAGAGGGGUUUUUGUACCCUCGUUGGGGUCAACACACAUCUUAUGGUCCAAUUCCAAUUCAGCCAUAGUGUUAGAAACAACACUAUGUGUAACAAGCUCAGGAAUAACAUGAACCGUCCCAACAUUAGCAAUAACAUGUUGAGAAGUAAAAACUUCAGAAAAAAGGCAGGGUGAAACUCCACACCAGCCCAAGUUGUUUUCCAGUUGGGUCAUCUCUCCUACUAGUUGUGUCAAGUUCAUCUAUGGGUUCAUCAUCAUCUUUCAAUAAGUCUGUGUCAACCGAAUCAUCACCCAAUGCUUCAAGAUUCCCAACCUCAAUAUCAUCAGGACCAAGAUCAUGAUUAGGAUCAUUUCCUCCCAUUUGUUCAGAACAUUCUAUAGUACAGAAAACGGAUACAACCUCUUUUUCAUUUCAAGAAGCCUCUCAAAAGCGAUUUUAGCUGGAUCACUGCAAGCAAUGUUGAUCCUAACACACUAGCAUAAAAGCUCUUCAUAAGGUCAUUCCAAUCCACAAGGAUACCCAAAAAGGUGAUAAUUUGAGCCAAGACUUUCCAAGAAUGCCAUUUGGUGGGUAACCCAUCAACCUUAAUUAACCCAAGCCUUAAUUUUCUCAACAAAAGUAUCAAUACUGCCAGUCCAUUCAGUCACAUUAACGCAGACGCCAUUGUCAUGAAGAUCAAAAGUUGAAACUCAAUCAAAUCCUCACAAUUUUUCCAAUGAGGAAAUCUAACAAAAAAGAUUUGGGUUCAAUAACUCUAAUUUGCCAAGGCCACUAUUUAUUCUUGUAGAAAAUGGUAGACAAAUUUGUAAGUAAAUCCUCUUGAGAUAUCCCACCUUUGACAACAUUGAUAACAACAUAGCUUCUGGAAUUGAGCCACUUAGCUUCGUCUCUCACUAGAACAUUUGUAUGAUAAAAGCAUAACCCGAGAACAGAACUACAAAAAUAUGUAGCAAUGGUGAAGUUGAGUCCAAGCAGCGCAGUUGUUAACAUUGCGACCUUCUUGAUUACAGAUAAAGCAUGAUUUCGUCUUGAUGCAAUUAUCAACAUAAUGACCUGGACCUCCACAACUAAAUCAGACCAUGUAUAUGUAUCUCGGGUCGCGUACCUGCUGUGUCAGUUCUGGAUUUUUAGUAGCAAUAGUGGGGCGAGGAAGUUUAUGACGCGGUGGAGCUGAAUGAGUUCUUGCCACGGCCCCGACAACCAUCUAUUGCGCGACCAUCAUAGGACAUCCUCCACCCACCAUUGGGGCCCUACCUCCAGCCGACACCCACUACCUGCAUGGCGGGGGAGGAUGAUUUUUGCAGUAACACCGCGGACUUGUCGCUGGUCCGCCAUCGAAGCACUCGCAACCUCCAUGAAGAAUGUAAUCCCGAGCAACCCCCUCAUGAACAACUUUGAAAUUUACUGGAGUGGGAUCAAAUGGGGAAAGUUUCUUCACAGGACAACAAUCGGAUGAUCCAUACAGCUGUACGUGAGUCUGUCGAGGCGACCACGGUACAUUUCUUUGAGGGCUAGAAGAAAAGAUUUGCGAUCUUAUUGAUUUACUGCAAUAUAAUGACACCAUGAGUUACUUCAUCACGCGGGGUGUAUAGAACGUUGGGUAUUGAAAAAGCAUGCUACAAAGAGUCAUCCAACUUAUAACAGUGGGCUAUUUAGUUCUUAUGCUAUUGAUGGCAGGCUUAGUGCUAAACCAGGUACUUCUAUAAGUCAAAAAGCAUUUAAUGGACCAAAAUGGUUGUUGUACCAAAGGAGGUUUCUCAAAUUUCAUCUAGUGUGAUAUCAUGUCACACUACUGCAGUUAAGUCCUAUGCAAAUGGUGUAAAAGCCCUUUCACUAAUAUGGUUCGAACCAUCGCCUUGCUAAGGUGUGCGAUCAGGGGUGCCCAUCGCACACGAUCCAAUAAUCGUCUUUGAUAGGGCUCGAGGACGUAGACAUUCUAGCAAAAGCAUUGUAUGCAAAGACAAGGGAAUCGCAAACGCUAUGCCUAAAGAACGUGUUUGCGAUAUACAAAACUACCUAAAAAUUGUGUGAAAUGAUACAUCUAUCGAUCACGCUCUACAUUGACGUAACGUUUGCAAUGCAGACGACAUCGGAGACAAUUUCUUGACAUGGCGCAUGUGCAAAAAUAUGUCUAUCCCAAACAUUUAAUCUACUACUAUCGCCCACGUUUCCUCUUAAUGAGUGUGUGUGAUAGGUGUUCCUAGCACACACACACACACACACACACUCUUCGAUAGUGCAUCAUGUUCGAUGAUCCAUCAACACACAUGUUUAAAGGUCAGAAACCUAUGUUCUAUUAUGGAUAAUCACACACGUUAUUCGUCAGUGAAACAUGUGUGCUAUAUAUUUCCAUCGCACACGGUUUUAUUUUAGCCAUGUGUACCAUAAUGACCAGCUGCACAACUGCUUGUUUCCUGAUAAUAUACUCCCUACAGUUUAUAAUCCUCCAGAAUUUGAACUGUAAAUUUCCAUAUUUAAAUUAUAAAUUGUAGCAUUCACAUAUUUCAUAUCCAUCAUACAUACCCUAUUUACAAUGGUUCAACAACCAAAUGCAUAAAUCAAACCGCAAUACAAUAUCUUCAAGAAUUAAAGAAUUAAGCAAGAAAUUAACAAUGAUAAACCACAGUAGAAUUAGAGGCGGUAAAGAGUGAGGCAAAAAUCAUUUGGAUUGUUGGAGAAGGUGAAGAAGUGGAAUGCCGAUAUUGUUUUCUCGUCCAUGCUGAAGGCACAUACAACUUUAGUUCAAUCCCUUGUGAUGACUGCCCGCCCAUUCACCGGCUUCAAGAAGAUUUCUAGACCAUCAUCAUGGUAGUUUGGGUGAUAUACUUUAAUUUUCCUUGCCUUCGCACCGAUCAUGUAGUUUGUGAGGUAAUCUUGAGUAAACUGCUUUGGAAACCACUAAAAAUUGGAAAACAUUUAGAUAUUUGUGUUUAAUAGCUUAUUGUGGGCAGGAAAAAUAAGGCAACAGAUUUCUUAUCAUCCUAAAAUUCACGGUCAUCAUGGAUAAAGCGUUCACUCAUCACCCAUCUCUUUCUCCUAACAAUCUUUCUUUGUUUCCUCACUUGAUUAUGAUCCAUGAAUGCUGCAUUGCCCCAUACGCAAAAUGGGUCGAAUCGUGGAACUGUACCUCUAACAUAUGUGCCUACAAGCAACAACUAAAUGUUAGAAGCUAAACUGCAAUUGCGCAAUGAUGUAAUAUAAGACAUGGGAUGCAACUAACCUCGAUGGUAAAUAACAUCAUCGUCCAUUGUGAACCUGCAUAAGUAGAUGGAAAGUCAUGUUAACUAUAAUAGACUUAACAUCCACCAAAUAUAGACAUGGUAAACAACAUCAUCUCCUAAUGAUAGCUUCAUUGCAAAGAGUUAACACGGUAGUAAAGUCACUAAGUAAAAAAUGGAUAGACAUGUUUAAUACAACAUGCUUAACACCAAUCAAAUAUAGCAAUUGUAACUGGUAUUGGUGAAAUUGAACUGGACAAAUCAUACUUGAACAUCAUAUUGCAUAAUUGAACAUCACAUUGUGCAUAGCUGAAAUUAACAAGGCACAUUUUAACUAUAAAUUAACAACCAAAUAUAGCCAUUGAAAUUAGUAUUGACGAAAUUGAACAUGACGGUUUCAUACUUAAACAUCACAUUAUGUAUAACUAAAUUAAACACGACAGAGUUAAACAUGACAAGGCAUAUGUUGUUGGGGAACGUAGCAAUAAUUCAAAAAAAUUCUACGUGUCACCAAGAUCAAUCUAGGAGAUACUAGCAACGAGAGAGAGGGAUUGCAUCUUCAUACCCUUGAAGAUCGCUAAGCAGAAGCGUUCAAGAGAACGGGGUUGAUGGAGUCGUACUCGUCGUGAUCCAAAUCACCGAUGAUCCUAGCGCCGAACGGACGGCACCUCCGCGUUCAACACACAUACGGAAUGGAGAGACAUCUCCUCCUUCUUGAUCCAGCAAGGGGAGAGGAGAGGUUGAUGGAUAUCCAGCAGCACGACGGCGUGGUGGUGGAAGCAGCGGGAUCUCGGCAGGGCUUCGCCAAGCACCAACGAGAGGGAGAGGUGUCACGGAGGGAGAGGGAGGCGCCAGGGACCUGGGUGCGGCUACCCUCUCUCCCCCUACUAUAUAUAGGACCCCUAGGGGGCGCCGGCCCUAGGAGAUCCAAUCUCCAAGGGGGCGGCGGCCAAGGGGGGAACUUGCCCCCCAAGUCAGGUGGGGCGCCCCCACCCCUAGGGUUUCCAACCCUAGGCGCAGGGGAAGGCCCAUGGGGGGCGCACCAGCCCACUAGGGGCUGGUUCCCCUCCCACUUCAGCCCAUGGGGCCCUCCGGGAUAGGUGGCCCCACCCGGUGGACCCCCGGGACCCUUCCGGUGGUCCCGGUACAAUACCGAUUACCCCCGAAACUUUCCCGAUGGCCGAAACUGGACUUCCUAUAUAUAAAUCUUCACCUACGGACCAUUCCAGAACUCCUCGUGACGUCCGGGGUCUUAUCCGGGACUCCGAACAACUUUCGGGUUACCGCAUAAUAAUAUCUCUACAACCCUAGCGUCACCGAACCUUAAGUGUGUAGACCCUACGGGUUCGGGAGACACGCAGACAUGACCGAGACGACUCUCCGGUCAAUAACCAACAACGGGAUACCCAUGUUGGCUCACACAUGUUCCACGAUGAUCUCAUCGGAUGAACCACGAUGUCGAGGAUUUAAUCAAUCCCGUAUACAAUUUCCUUUGUCUAUCGGUAUGAUACUUGCCCGAGAUUCGAUCGUCGGUAUCCUGAUACCUCGUUCAAUCUCGUUACCGGCAAGUCUCUUUACUCCUUCCGUAGCACAUCAUCCCGUGAUCAACUCCUUGGUCAUAUUGUGCACAUUAUGAUGAUGUCCUACCGAGUGGGCCCAGAGAUACCUCUCCGUAACACGGAGUGACAAAUCCCAGUCUCAAUUCGUGCCAACCCAACAGACACUUUCGGAGAUACCCGCAGUGCACCUUUAUAGCCACCCAGUUACGUUGUGACAUUUGGUACACCCAAAGCAUUCCUACGGUAUCCGGGAGUUGCAAAAUCUCAUGGUCUAAGGAAAUGAUACUUGACAUUAGAAAAACUUUAGCAUACGAACUACACGAUCUUGUGCUAGGCUUAGGAUUAGGUCUUGUCCAUCACAUCAUUCUCCUAAUGAUGUGAUCCCGUCAUCAACGACAUCCAAUGUCCAUGGUCAGGAAACCGUAACCAUCUAUUGAUCAACGAGCUAGUCAACUAGAGGCUUACUAGGGACAUGGUGUUGUCUAUGUAUCCACACAUGUAGCUGAGUUUCCUAUCAAUACAAUUCUAGCAUGGAUAAUAAACGAUUAUUAUGAACAAGCAAAUAUAAUAAUAACUAAUUUAUUAUUGCCUCUAGGGCAUAUUUCCAACAGUCUUCCACUUGCACUAGAGUCAAUAAUCCAGUUCACAUCGCUAUGUGAUUAACACUCAAGGUCACAUCCCAAGUGACUAUGAAAGUGCAACUAUCCCUGGGUGGUUUUGGUAAUUCCUAACAACAUAUAGCUCAUUGAGCUAACAUUAUUCCAAGAUUAAUAUUUCAGGAAAAGCUCAAUGAAUGGCAUGGCAUGGAUGAGGAAAGUGGAUCCCUCAAAAUUCUAAGGACAAAAAGUUUGGCUCAAGCUUGAAGCUCAAGACUCUACAUUUUAUGUUUUAGUGAUCCAAGAUCACAUUGAGUCUAUAGGAAAAGCCAAUAUUAUCAAGGAGGGAUGAGGUGUUGCUUAAUGGCUUGCUUGCUCAAAAUGCUUAGUGAUAUGCUCCAAAAUCCUCAACUACCUUCCCACAUCCACAUAUGACCUAAACCAAAAGUCAAACUCGGCCCCACCGAUUCUUUCUAUCCGGCGCCACCGAGUUUCAAAUGUCAUAUCCACUGCCACAAACCCUAGGCAAAUCGGUCUCACCGAUAGGGAUCUCGGUCUCACCGAUAGGGAUCUCGGUCUCACCGAGAUGGGAUUGUAAUCUCUCUGUUUCCCUUCAUAACGUUUCGGUCUUACCGAGAUGAGCGAUCGGUCCCACCGAGAUUGCAAUGUAAACUCUUUGUUUCCCUUUUGUAACAUUUUGGUCUCACCGAGAUGAGCGAAUCGGUCCCACCGAGUUUACCUGACCAACUCUCUGGUUAGCUUAUUACCAAAAUCGGUCCCACCGAGUUUGUGUAAUCGGUCACACCGAGAUUACGUUAUGCCCUAACCCUAACCAUAUCGGUCCUACCGAGUUGCAUCUCAGUACCACCGAAAAUCCUAACGGUCACUAGGUUUGCUGAAUCGGUCCGACCGAGUUUAACCAUUCGGUCCCACCGAGUUUGGCAAAUUGUGUGUAAUGGUUAGAUUUUGUGUGGAGGCUAUAUAUACCCCUCCACCCACUCUUCAUUCAUGGAGAGAGCCAUCAGAACAUACCUACACUUCCAAUACACAUUUUCUGAGAGAGAACCACCUAGACUUGUGUUGAGGUCAAGAUAUUCCAUUCCAACCAUAUGAAUCUUGAUCUCUAGCCUUCCCCAAGUUGCUUUCCACUCAAAUCUUCUUUCCACCAAAUCCAAAUCCUGUGAGAGAGAGUUGAGUGUUGGGGAGACUAUCAUUUGAAGCACAGGAGCAAGGAGUUCAUCAUCAACACACCAUUUGUUACUUCUUGGAGAGUGGUGUCUCCUAGAUUGGCUAGGUGUCACUUGGGAGCCUCCGACAAGAUUGUGGAGUUGAACCAAGGAGUUUGUAAGGGCAAGGAGAUCGCCUACUUCAUGAAGAUCUACCGCUAGUGAGGCAAGUCCUUCGUGGGCGACGACCGUGAUGGAAUAGACAAGGUUGCUUCUUCGUGGACCCUUCGUGGGUGGAGCCCUCCAUGGACUCGCGCAACCGUUACCCUCCGUGGGUUGAAGUCUCCAUCAACGUGGAUGUAUGAUAGCACCACCUAUCGGAACCACGACAAAAACAUCCGUGUCUCCAAUUGCGUUUGAAUCCUCCAAACCAUUCUCUUUACAUUCUUGCAAGUUGCAUGCUUUACUUUCCGCUGCCCAUAUACUCUUUUGCAUGCUUGCUUGAAUUGUGUGGAGAUUGCUUGACUUGUGCUAAGAUAGCUAAAAUCUGCCAAGAACUAAAAUUGGGAAAAGGCUAGAUUUUUAUUUGGUCAAGUAGGCUAAUCACCCCCCUCUAGACAUACUUUCGAUCCUACAGACUAACACCCAAAGAGUUUACUAGAGUCAAUAAUCUAGUUCACAUUACCAUGUGAUUAACACUCAAUGAGUUCUGGGUUUGAUCAUGUUAUGCUUGUGAGAGAUGUUAUAGUCAACGGGUCUGAACCUUUUCAUAUCCGUGUGUGCUUUACAAAUCUCUAUGUCAUCUUGUAGAUGCAGCUACCACGCUCUUCUUGGAGCUAUUCCAAAUAACUAUUCUACUAUACGAAUCUGGUUUACUACUCAGAAUCAUCCAGAUUAGUGUCAAAGAUUGCAUCGGCGUAACCCUUUACGACGAACUCUUUUACCACCUCCAUAAUCGAGAUCCUGUGAUCCUGUAAUCGGCGUAACCUUGACCGUUGUCCUGUGAUCCAUUCCUAGAUCACACUUGUACCCCUUGACUAACUCAAGGCUUAGCACGCUUCAGGUGCGGUACACAACAUUGCAUACUUUAGAGCCUACGUCUAAAGCAUAGGGGACGACCUUCGUCCUUUCUCUCUAUUCUGCCGUGGUCAGGUCUUGAGUUUUACUCAAUACUCAUACCUUAUAACACAGCCAAGAACUCCUUCUUUGUCGAUCUAUUUUGAACUCCUUCAAAAUUUUGUCAUGGUAUGUGUUCGUUUGAAAGUACUAUUAAACGAUUUUGAUCUAUCCUUAUAGAUCUUGAUGCUCAAUGUUCAAGUAGCUUAAUCCAGGUUUUCCAUUAAAAACCACUUUUCAAAUAACCCUGUAUGCUUUCCAGAAAUUCUACAUCAUUUUUGAUCAACAAUAUGUUAACAACAUAUACUCAUCAAAAAUUCUAUAGUGCUCCCACUCACUUCUUUGGAAAUACAAGUUUCUCAUAAACUUUGUAUAAACCCAAAAUCUUUGAUCAUCUCAUCAAAGCGUACAUUCCAAUUUCGAGAUGCUUACUCCAGUCCUUAGAAGGAUUGCUGGACUUUGCAUACUUGUUAGCAUCUUUCAGGAUUGACAAAACCUUCUGGUUGUAUCACACACAACCUUUCCUCAAGAAAAACAUCGAGGAAACAAUGUUUUGACAUCCUAUCUGCAAGAUUUCAUAAAAAAUGCAAUAACUGCUAACAUAAUUCCAACAGACUCUUAGCAUCGCUAUGAGUGAGAAAGUCUCAUCGUAGUCAACUCCUUGAACUUGUCAGGAAACAUCUUAACGACAAGUCGAGCUUUCUUAAUGGUGACACUUACCAUCAUUGUCCGUCUUCCUUUUAAAAUCCAUCUGCACCCAACAGCCUUACGACCAUCAAGUAGUUCUUUUCAAAGUCUAUACUUUGUUUUAUACAUGGAUCCUCUCUCGGAUUUUAUGGCCUCGAGCCAUUCGUCGAAAUCCGGGCCCACCAUCGCUUCUCCAUAGCUCGUAGGUUCAUUGUUGUCUAGCAACAUGACUUCCAAGACAGGAUUACGUACCACUCUGAUGUAGUACACAUCCUUGUCGACCUAUGAGGUUUGGUAGUGACUUGAUCCGAAGUUUCAUGAUCACUAUCAUAAGCUUCCACUUCAAUUGGUGUAGGUGCCACAAGAACAACUUUCUAUGCCCUGCUACACACUAGUUGAAGUGACGGUUCAAUAACCUCAUCAAGUCUCCACCAUCCUCCCACUCAAUUCUUUCGAGAGAAACUUUUCCCCGAGAAAGGACCCGUUUCUAGAAACAAUCAAUUUUGCUUCCGGAUCUGAAAUAGGAGGUAUACCCAACUGUUUUGGGUAUUCUAUGAAGAUGCAUUUAUCCGCUUUGGAUUCGAGCUUAUCAGCCUGAAACCUUUUCACAUAAGCAUCGCAGCCCCAAACUUUCAAGAAACGACAGCUUAGGUUUCUCUAAACCAUAGUUCGCACGGUGUCGUCUCAACGGAAUUGUGUGGUGCCCUAUUUAAAGUGAGUGCGGUUGUCCCUAAUGCCUAACCCAUAAACGAUAGUGGAAAUUUGAUAAGAGACAUCAUGGUAUGCACCAUAUCCAAUAGGGUGCAGUUGUGAUGUUCGGACACACCAUCACACUAUGGUGGUCCAGGCGGUAUUAGUUGUGAAACAAUUUCCACAAUGUCUUAAUUGUGUGCCAAACUCGUAACUCAGAUUUUCAUCUCUAUGAUCAUAUCAUAGACAUUUUAUCAUCUUGUCACGACGAUAUUCAACUUCACUCUGAAAUUACUUAAACCUUUCAAUAAUCCAGACUUGUGUUUCAUCAAGUAAAUAUACUCAGUAUCUACUCAAAUCAUCUGUGAAGUAAGAACAUAACGAUAUCCACUGUGUGCCUCCGCACUCAUUGGACUGCACACAUCAAAAUGUAUUACUUCCAACAAGUUGCUUUCUUGUUCCAUCUUACUGAAAAUGAGGCUUUUCAGUCAUCUUGCCCAUGUGGUAUGAUUUGCAUGUCUUAAGUGAUUCAAAAUCAAGUGAGUCCAAAUGAUCCAUCUGUAUGGAGUUUCUUCAUGCAUAUCUACCAAUAGACAUGGUUCGCAUGUCUCAAUCCUUUCAAAAACGAGUGAGUCCAAAGAUCCAUCAACAUGGAGCUUCUUCAUGCGUUUUAUACCAACAUGACUCAAAUGGCAGUGCCACAAGUAUGUGGUACUAUCAUUACUAUCUUAUAUCUUUUGGCAUGAACAUGUGUAUCACUACGAUCGAGAUUCAAUAAACCAUUCAUUUUAGGUGCAAGACCAUUGAAGGUAUUAUUCAAAUAAACAGAGUAACCAUUAUUCUCUUUAAAUGAAUAACUGUAUUGCGAUAAACAUAAUCCAAUCAUGUCUAUGCUCAACGCAAACACCAAACAACAAUUAUUUAGGUUUAACACCAAUCUCGAUGGUAGAGGGAGCAUGCGAUGCUUGAUCACAUCAACCUUGGAAACACUUCCAACACAUAUCGUCAUCUCACCUUCAGCUAGUCUCCGUUUAUUCCGUAGCCUUUUAUUUCGAGUUACUAACACUUAGCAACUGAACCGGUAUUUUAAUACCCUGGUGCUGCUAGGAGUACUAGUAAAGUACACAUUAAUAUAACGUAUUUCCAAAAUACUUCUGUCGACCUUGCCAGCCUUCUCAUCUACCAAGUAUCUAGGGUAGUUCUGCUUCAGUGACUGUUCCCUCAUUACAGAAGCACUUAGUCUCGGGUUUGGUUCAACCUUGGGUUUCUUCACUAGAGCAGCAACUGAUUUGCCGUCUCAUGAAGUAUCCAUUCUUUCCCUUACCCUUCUUGAAACUAGUGGUUUAACCAUCAACAAUUGAUGCUCCUACUUGAUUUCUACUUUCGCGGUGUCAAACAUCGCGAGUUGCUCAAGGAUCAUCAUGUCUAUCCCUGAUAUGUUAUAGUUCAUCAUGAAGCUCCAAUAGCUUGGUGGCAGUGACUAUGGAGAAUCAUCACUAUUUCAUCUGGAAGAUUAACUCCCACUGGAUUCAAGCGAUUGUAGUACUCAGACAAUCUAAGCACAUGCUUAACGAUUGAGCUUUUCUCCCUUAGUUUGCAGGCUUAAGAAACUUGUCAGAGGUCUCAUACCUCUUGACGUGGGCACUAGUCUGAAUCCCAAUUUCAGUCUUUGGAACAUCUCAUAUGUUCCGCGACGUUUCAAAAACGUCUUUGGUGCCACAAUCCUAAACCGUUAGUAUUACGCACUGAACUAUCACGUAGUCAUCAAAACGUGUAUGUCAGAUGUUUCCCAACAUCUACAGACAACGCUCGAGGUUCAACGCACUGAGCGGUGCAUUAAGGACAUAGCCCUUCUGUGCAGCAACGAGGACAAUCCUCAGUUCACGGACCCAGUCUGCAUAAUUGCUACUGUCAACUCUCAACUAAAUUUUCUGUAGGAACAUAUCUAAAACAGUAGAACCAAAGCGUGAGCUAUGACAUAAUUUGCAAAGACCUUUUGACUAUGUUCAUGAUAAUUAAGUUCAUCCAAUCAAAUUAUUCAAUGAACUCCCACUUAGAUAGACAUCCCUCUAGUCAUCUAAGUGAUACAUGAUCCGAGUCAACUAGGCCAUGUCCGAUCAUCACGUGAGACGGACUAGUCAUCAUCGAUGAACAUCUUCAUGUUGAUCGUAUCCACUAUACGACUCAUGUUCGACCUUUCGGUCUUCCGUGUUCCGAGGCCAUGUAUGUACAUGCUAGGCUCGUCAAGUCAACCUAAGUGUUUCGCAUGUGUAAAUCUGGCUUACACCUGUUGUAUGCGAACAUUAGAAUCUAUCACACCUGAUCAUCACGUGGUGCUUCGAAACAAUGAACCUUCGCAACGGUGCACAGUUAGGGGGAACACUUUUCUUGAAAUUUCAGCGAGGGAUCAUCUUAUUUAUGCUACCGCCGUUCUAAGCAAAUAAGAUGUAAACAUGACAAACAUCACAUGCAAAUCAUAAAGUGACACGAUAUGGCCAAUAUCAUCUUGCGCCUUUUGAUCUCCAUCUUCGAGGCGCGACAUGAUCACCUUCGUCACCGGCAUGACACCAUGAUCUCCAUCAUUGUGUCUUCAUGAAGUUGCCUCACCAACUAUUACUUCUGCUACCAUGGCUAACGAUUAGCAAUAAAGUAAAGUAAUUACAUGGCGUUUUCAUUGACACGCAGGUCAUAAAUAAAUUAAGACAACUCCUAUGGCUCCUGCCGGUUGUCAUACUCAUCGACAUGCAAGUCAUGAUUCCUAUUACAAGAACAUGAUCAAUCUCAUACAUCACAUAUAUCAUUCAUCACAUCCUUUUGGCCAUAUCACAUCACAUAGCAUACCCUGCAAAAACAAGUUAGACGUCCUCUAAUUGUUGUUGCAUGUUUUACGUGGCUGCUAUGGGUUUUUAGCAAGAACGUUUCUUACCUACACAAAACCACAACGGUGAUAUGCCAAUUGCUAUUUACCCUUCAUAAGGACCCUUUUCAUCGAAUCCGAUCCGACUAAAGUGGGAGAGACAGACACCUGCCAGCCACCUUAUGCAUCAAGUGCAUGUCAGUCGGUGGAACUAGUCUCACGUAAGCGUAUGUGUAACGUCGGUCUGGGCCGCUUCAUCCCACAAUGCCGCCGGAUCAAGAUAAGACUAGUAACGGUAAGAAAAUUGAACAAAUCAUCGCCCACAACUGCUUUGUGUUCUACUCGUGCAUAGAAUCUAUGCAUAGACCUAGCUCUGAUACCACUGUUGGGGAACGUAGCAAUAAUUCAAAAAAAUUCUACGUGUCACAAAGAUCAAUCUAGGAGAUACUAGCAAUGAGAGAGAGGGAGUGCAUCUUCAUACCCUUGAAGAUCGCUAAGCAGAAGCGUUCAAGAGAACGGGGUUGAUGGAGUCGUACUCGUCGUGAUCCAAAUCACCGAUGAUCCUAGCGCGAAACGGAUGGCACCUUCGCGUUCAACACACAUACGGAAUGGAGAGACGUAUCCUCCUUCUUGAUCCAGCAAGGGAGAGGAGAGGUUGAUGGAGAUCCAGCAGCACGACGGCGUGGUGGUGGAAGCAGCGGGAUCUCGGCAGGGCUUCGCCAAGCACCAACGAGAGGGAGAGGUGUCACGGAGGGAGAGGGAGGCGCCGGAGACUUGGGUGCGGCUGCCCUCCCCCCACUAUAUAUAGGACCCCUAGGGGACCGCCGGCCCUAGGAGAUCCAAUCUCCAAGGGGGGCGGCCAAGGGGGGAACUUGCCCCCCAAGUCAGGUGGGGCGCCCCCCACCCCUAGGGUUUCCAACCCUAGGCACAGGGGGAGGCCCAUGGGGGGCGCACCAGCCCACCAGGGGCUGGUUCCCCUCCCACUUUAGCCCAUGGGGCCCUCUGAGAUAGGUGGCCCCACCCGGUGGACCCCCGGGACCCUUCCGGUGGUCCCGGUACAAUAUCGAUUACCCCCAAAACUUUCCCGAUGGCCGAAACUGGACUUCCUAUAUAUAAAUCUUCACCCCCGGACCAUUCCGGGACUCCUAGUGACGUUUGGGAUCUCAUCCGGGACUCCGAACAACUUUCGGGUUACCGCAUAAUAAUAUCUCUACAACCCUAGUGUCACCGAACCUUAAGUGUGUAGACCCUACGGGUUCGGGAGACACGCAGACAUGACCGAGACGACUCUCCGGUCAAUACACAACAGCGGGAUCUGGAUACCCAUGUUGGCUCCCACAUGUUCCACGAUGAUCUCAUCGGAUGAACCACGAUGUCGAGGAUUUAAUCAAUCCCGUAUACAAUUUCCUUUGUCUAUCGGUACGAUACUUGCCCGAGAUUCGGUCGUCGGUAUCCCGAUACCUCGUUCAAUCUUGUUACCGGCAAGUCUCUUUACUCGUUCCGUAACACAUCAUCCCUUGAUCAACUCCUUGGUCACAUUGUGCACAUUAUGAUGAUGUCCUACCGAGUGGGCCCAGAGAUACCUCUCCGUAACACAGAGUGACAAAUCCCAGUCUCGAUUCGUGCCAACCCAACAGAAACUUUUGGAGAUACCCGCAGUGCACCUUUAUAGCCACCUAGUUACGUUGUGACGUUUGGUACACCCAAAGCAUUCCUACGGUAUCCGGGAGUUGCACAAUCUUAUGGUCUAAGGAAAUGAUACUUGACAUUAGAAAAGCUUUAGCAUACGAACUACAUGAUCUUGUGCUAGGCUUAGGAUUGGGUCUUGUCCAUCACAUCAUUCUCCUAAUUAUGUGAUCCCGUCAUCAACGACAUCCAAUGUCCAUGGUCAGGAAACUGUAACCAUCUAUUGAUCAACGAGCUAGUCAACUAGAGGCUUACUAGGGACAUGGUGUUGUCUAUGUAUCCACACAUGUAUCUGAGUUUCCUAUCAAUACAAUUCUAGUAUGGAUAAUAAAUGAUUAUUAUGAACAAGGAAAUAUAAUAAUAACUAAUUUAUUAUUGCCUCUAUGGCAUAUUUCCAACAUAUGCUACUAUAAUAGAAUGGCCUGGUUUCUAGAAUAGUAGGGAAAUAGCUAAAGCAAGCUACUCCUAGCCAUCUGAGAUGAUCAUUGGCUCUUCCCCCCUUGGAAGUGACACAUGCAAAGACAUCAUGGGUGCUCUCCCUGUUGUCAUAGGUGGGCUCCUUCCCCUUAGAAGAGCACUCAUAGUCGAUGCUCUCCUCAUCGUUGAGGAUGAGAUCUUACUUGCUUGAUGAGGAUACAACGUGUGGCAAAUGUUGGAGCACGUGGAGGAGGAGAUCAGUGACAGGGCUCUUAACAAGAUCAACGAUGGUAAAGCCUAAGGUGUUGGUAGUUGGGCACUUCAUCUGGGCCAAAGCUCGCCCCGAGCCAUCACUAUAGAUGAGCUUGUUGAUGUUGUAGCCGACAAGCAUAAGAUGAAAAAACGGUUGGCUGAUAUGUAGCACCCGCGGAGACCUUGGCAGCGAGGUGUUCCUCAGAGUAUAGAAGGUUGAGACACAUGGCGGCCACAUCCUCCUCGUCCACCAUUGAGGGUGCGAUAAACCUUUUUGGCCAUCUGCUCCUCGAGCUCCCCGUGAUAUGUCGUUGCGCUUAGGCGGCGAUGCUUUGGAGUAGGGGUUAGGGAUUUGGAGGAAAGUGGGUGUUUCUCAAGUGCCAUCUAAGCAAAAUCAUGAUGGGUGGGGGUGGAGAUCGGUGGGUUGCCUGACUAGAUUAACAAGGCACGGGCAGAUUACGACAUAGGUCGAAGGUGGAGGAGACGAUGGGGAUUUGAGCAGGGGAUGAGGACAUUGAAAUGUGGUGUGGGUGUGGGAGGAAGAGGGUGAUGAAGCUAUGUACCUAGGGUAGGGUCAUGGACCUGUCCUAACUGCCCUACCCAAGGACAUCUCUAGAAGAAAUCACCUUUCAAUCGACUUGGAGGUGUUCCACUCGACAGACUCGAAGACACUCGACCAAGAAGCAAUCACUCGACCAAGAUCCAACCACUCGACGGCCAAGAGACCUAAAGUCACUCCGCACGCUAACGGUCGGUCAUUAAGUAGCUUUUAUGGUCAUCAUAGCACUUUAUUACUAGCGUUACCAGUAACGCCCUGCCUUAAUAUACAUUGAACCCUUUGUAACGUGGGCUGGCCGGGGUCCUAGCGCACUCUAUAUAAGCCACCCCCCUCCUCUGAGACAAGGGUUCGCACCUCUGUAAUUCAUACUCACAUAAUAUAGUCGACCGCCUCCGGGCUCCGAGACGUAGGGCUAUUACUUCCUCCGAGAAGGGCCUGAACUCGUAAACCUUGCGUGCUUACAACUUCUCCAUAGCUAAGAUCUUGCCUCUCCAUACUUACCCCCUACACUACUGUCAGACUUAGAACCACGACAGUUGGCGUCCACCGUGGGGCAGGUGUUUUAGCGUUUGUUGGAGGAGUUGCGACCUUUUUCGACCCGAAUCAUCAUGGUUUUUGGCAGAGUUUCGGUGGAGGGUUGCGAGAUCCGUCUCGGCGCGCUCACGUUCAUCAUCGACGACUCUGCUUGGCUCCAGGAGGCUCCGCUCGACGUGGAUGCGCUCCCGGCUCGCGGGGCAACACACUUUAGUGCGUGCGUCCGCGGCGUUCUCCUGCGGCAACCGUCGACCCCCUACCGGUCGGCUCCUGUGUUGUCCUCCCUCCCCGUUUCCCGCCGGCGCAAGCGCUCCAGUCGGUCGAGACUUCAGCGGUGGGUGAGACAUGUGGUGGCACGUCAGUCGGCCACCCCUCAAGUCGCGGUGAUCGAGCCCGACGAAUCCCUCUACAGCCUGUUCGACCUGUCGACUGGCUCCGCACAGACCGCAUCUGAGUGCGACAGUAGUGAUCCGGCGGCGGAGGUUCUGAUGGCCGAUGGACCGCCCAGUCCUCCUGGUUUUCCCCGCACCGACGGAGGCGCGGGUGGAGGCGACCCGUCGCGUCUCCAUGAGGAGUACCUUCCGGAGCCUCUCAUGUCGCUGCAGAGAGAAGAACUUCGCCGCCGGAACGUGGAUGCACUGCACACUCCUAUCGUUGGAGAAACCCCCGAGGCUCGCGCCUUGGAGGACGCGCGCCUGGAAAACUUGGCCGAGCGCACUCGACUGGAGAACCUCGAGUGAGCACUCGACGAGCGUGCGCGACAAUGGGUUCCCGAAUCCAGUCAACGUUAGCUCUUCCCGCCCCCCAGGUAUAUCGAACUCCGAUUCAGAAUUUAGCAGCUACGGCCCGUAUAGCAGAGUCGAUUCAGCCUUCCUAGUUAGAGGCUGGCAGAGGCUUGCUGCAGAUCAGAGCGUUACUCCGGGCAGCAGGAGAUCAGAAUUCCGCUGUUUCUCAGUCGCGGAACAGGAUUCAUAGCAGAUCCGUUGCCGCGGACACAGUCCAGUCGGCUCACAGCCCGAGAUCGCCCCCGAGGCAUGAGGGAUGUGGAGACCGGCGUGACCAGUAUGGGAACCAUGAGCAGUAUGAUCACCGAGUCGAUCGUGACGGUCGACGUCGAGUGCCCACGCCUCCCCCGAGGAGCGGGUCGUAUGUGCCUCGCCAGCAGGAUGACAGGCGCCCUCAUAGUGGUGGGCGAAGGAUUCCAGUCGACCCCAGAGGGCCAGGCUUUGACGCGAGAUCCAUUCUCAUCCAAGGUUUGGUCGACAGGAACAGGGCUCACCGAGAAGGUCACGACAGAGAUGCGCCUACCAGCAGCAGAGUACAUGUUUCGAGGCCAGAGUGCUUUAGUAGAGCCAUCAGGGCCGCUGUGAUUCCUCCCAACUUCAGGUUGGCGACUGGAGUCAGUAAGUUCACUGGUGAGUCCAAGCCCGAUACUUGGCUUGAGGACUACCGAGUGGCUGUCCAGAUUGGCAGCGUUAAUGAUGAAGUGGCCAUGAAGCACCUGCCUCUCAUGUUGGAGGGUUCGGCCAGAGCGUGGCUGAACCAGUUAGCACCUAGCAGCAUUUACACUUGGGAAGAUCUCUCUCAAGUGUUCGUCACCACAUUUGAAGGCACAUGCAAGCGACCGGCAGGGCUGACAGAACUGCGGUCUUGCGUGCAGAAGCCGAAUGAAACUUUGAGGGAUUACAUCCAGAGGUGGAUCACAUUACAUCACUCGGUGGAGAAUGUGCCUGACCACCAAGCAGUUUGUGCCUUCCAGGAAGGCGUCAAGUACAGAGAACUGAAUUUGAAAUUCGGUUGAACCAGAGAUAUGUCCCUGAAUCAGAUGAUGGAGAUUGCCACCAAGUACGCUAAUGGUAAAGAUGAGGAUCGACUCAGGAGUGGCAAGCUCAAGUCAGUCGCCCAAGAAACCGAAGGAAAUUCCAAUCGGAAACAGAAGCAGAAAGCCGAGCCAGCUGCUCCCGGGGAAGCCUUGGCUUUGACCCAAGGAAAGUUUAAAGGGAAACCUAAAGGAUCUUGGAACCCCAAAAAGGUCAAAGACCAGGACAGAAAUGAUGUGUUGGACUUACCAUCUCUCGUCCACACAAAGAAAGAUGAAGAGGGUAAUUUCAUUUACCCGAAACAUACCACUCGACAGUGUCGACUCUUGAUCCAGCAGUUCCAGGGCAAGCAGCCCAAAGGUAAGGAAAAGGAGUCAGACAAGGUCGAGGACAAAGAAGACAGUGACGACGGAUACCCUCAGGUCAAUUCCACUCUGAUGAUUUUUGCCGAUGUUGAAAGCAAAAGUCAACUGAAAGUUAUUAACCGAGAGGUGAAUAUGGUCGCUCCGGCGACGCCUAGUUACCUGAAAUGGUCUCAGACUGCCAUAACAUUCGACCAGUCCGACCACCCAACGCACAUCGCCACCCCUGGGAGGCAAGCUUUGGUAGUCGACCCAGUUGUUGAAGGCACUCGACUGACCAAAGUCCUGAUGGAUGGCGGCAGUGGUUUGAACAUAUUGUAUGCUGAGACAUUGAAAGGGAUGAGCAUUCCGAUGUCCAGACUCAGUGCCAGCAACAUGAGUUUCCAUGGAGUCAUUCCUGGGAAGAAGGCUGAAUCACUCGGCCAGAUUGCUCUUGAUGUGGUUUUCCGUGAUUCCAAGAAUUACCGCAAAGAGAAGUUGACAUUUGAAGUUGUAGACUUCAAGAGUGCCUACCACGCUAUUUUGGGCAGGCCAGCUUAUGCACGCUUCAUGGCCCGACCGUGUUAUGUGUAUCUCAAAUUGAAGAUGCCUGGCCCCAAAGGUGUGAUCACUAUUACGGGCAAUCGGAAGAAAGCGGAAGAAUGUUUUCAGAAAGGUUCGAAGAUCGCCGAUGCUCAUAUGGCAGUGGUGGAGUUGCAGGAAUACCAGAAGACUGCAGACCCGAGUGAUUUGUUGCGAGCCAAGAAGCCUGCUAUAGAGUCAGCUUUUCAGUCGACUGGCGAUACGAAGACAGCUCACAUCCACCCGACCGACCCCAGCGCUGCUCCAACUCAUAUCUCGACAACACUCGACUCCAAAUAGGAAGAAGCGCUCAUCCAGUUCCUCCGUGAGAACUGGGACAUUUUCGCAUGGAAGCCCUCUGACAUGCCGGGUGUUCCCAGGGAGCUGGCUGAGCACCGCCUAAGAGUCGACUCAAAAAUAAAACCUGUCAAGGAACAUCUCCGACGGUCCGCCGUCUAGAAGAGAAAGGCCAUUGGCAAAGAGGUAGCUCGGCUCUUAGCAUCGGAGCUCAUCCGAGAAAUCUACCACUCCGAGUGGCUCACCAAUGUUGUCAUGGUCCCCAAGAAGGACAAGUCACUUUGCAUGUGCAUUGACUUUAAACAUAUCAAUCGGGCCUGCCCAAAAUAUCAUUUUCCUCUCCCCCGCAUCGACCAGAUAGUCGACUCGACUGCGGGAUGUGAUCGACUGUCUUUUUUAGAUGCCUAUUCUGGGUACCAUCAGAUCCGUCUGUAUGGGCCUGACGAGAUCAAAACAACUUUCAUCACUCCAUGCGGGUGCUUCUGUUAUGUUACCAUGCCAUUCGGCCUCAAGAAUGCCGGAGCCACAUUCAUGAGGAUGAUUCAGAAGUGUUUGCUCACCCAAAUCAGUCGGAAUGUGGAGGCGUACAUGGAUGAUAUUGUGGUCAAGUCACGGAAGGGUUCUGACCUGCUGACUAACCUUGCUGAAACCUUUGCCAACCUCAGAAGGUUUGAUAUCAAGCUUAAUCCAUCAAAAUGCACAUUCGGGGUUCCUGGCGGAAAGUUACUCGGUUUUCUCAUUUCCGAACAGGGAAUCGACGCCAAUCCAGAAAAAGUCGGUACUAUACUCCGGAUGAAAAGUCCUGUGCGAGUGCAUGAUGUUCAGAAGCUUACUGGUUGCUUGGCCGCCCUAAGUCGAUUCAUAUCUCGUCUCGGUGAAAAGGCAUUGCCUCUUUAUCGAUUGAUGAAGAAGUCUGACAAGUUCGAGUGGACUCCUGAAGCUGAUGCAGCGUUCGCAGAGCUCAAAGCUCUGCUCUCCACCUAGUCGGUGCUUGCUGCCCCAAUCAGCAAGGAGCCUUUGCUGCUUUACAUUGCAGCCACAGGACAAGUCGUCAGUACGGUACUUACGGUCGAGCGGGAAGAAGAAGGGAAAACCUUCAAAGUUCAGCGCCCAGUGUAUUAUAUUUCUGAAGUCUUGACCCCAUCGAAGCAAAGAUAUCCUCAUUAUCAGAAGCUCGUAUAUGGGAUUUAUAUGACCACAAAGAAAGUUGCCCACUACUUCUCUAAUCAUUCCAUUACAGUCGUCAGCGGCGCUCCGUUGUCAGAGAUCUUGCAUAACAGGGAUGCAACUGGUCGAGUGACAAAAUGGGCGAUUGAACUCCUUCAUCUAGAUAUCAAGUUUGAGGCAAAGAAAGCUAUCAAGUCCCAGGCAAUCGUGGAUUUCAUCGCCGAGUGGAUUGAACAACAACUGCCGACUCAGGUUCACUCGGAGCAUUGGACCAUGUUCUUUGACGGUUCCAAGAUGCUAAAUGGUUCCGGCGCCGGAGUAGUGUUGGUAUCCCCCAGAGGAGAUAAACUCAGAUAUGUUCUUCAAAUCCCCUUUGAUUCCUCUAACAACGAGGCAGAAUACGAAGCACUUUUAUAUGGGUUGCACAUGGCCAUUUCACUCGGCGUCCAUCGCCUCAUGGUCUAUGGCGACUCAGAUUUGGUGGUUAAUCAAGUGAUGAAGGAAUGGGACGUCAGAAGUCCAGCCAUGACUGGUUAUUGCAAUGCAGUGAGAAAGCUGGAGAAGAAAUUCGAGGGGUUAGAGCUUCAUCACAUACCCCGACUGAAAAAUCAAGCAGCUGAUGAUCUGGCAAAAAUAGGUUCCAAAAGAGAAGCCAUUCCCAGCAAUGUGUUUUUGGAACACAUCCACACACCAUCGGUCCAGGAGGAUCCCUUCACUAAAGAUGCCCCGCAGCCAAAAAGCGCCACGGAUCCGACUGAAGUUGAAGUUCCAGCUGUGGUCGACCUGAUCAUGGAAGUCUUGGUUAUCACUCCCAUCUAGACAGAACCGUACAUCGCGUACAUCCUAAGGAAAGAACUCCCAGAAGACGAAGAAGAGGCUCGGUAGAUCGUCCGUUGAUCCAAGGCCUUUACAGUCAUAAAGGGUCAGUUAUAUAGAGAAAGCACGACUGGGGUCGGCCAGAAGUGUAUUACACCAGAAGAAGGUCAGAUGAUCCUUAAUGAUAUCCACUCAGGGACCUGUGGUCAUCAUGCGUCCUCUCGGACCAUUGUGGCUAAAGCAUACCGAGCGGGGUUCUACUGGCCAAGAGCCAAUGAGAUGGCAAAAGAGAUAGUCGACAAAUGUGAAGUAUGUCAGUAUUACUCCAAUAUGCCGCACAAGCCCGCGUCAGCCCUAAAAACCAUUCCACUCGUCUGGCCCUUCACUGUUUGGGGGCUGGACAUGGUUGGACCACUGAGAACAGGCAGGAGCGGUUUCACUCAUGUGCUGGUAGCAGUCGACAAGUUCACCAAAUGGAUUGAAGCCAAGCCUAUCAAGAAUAUCGAUGCUUGCACCGCUAUCAGUUUCAUUAGAGAGUUGAUAUUCAGAUAUGGAGUUCUGCACAGCAUCUUCACAGACAAUGGGUCAAACUUCGAUUCCGACAAAUUCAGGGCCUUUUGCGCCUCUCAGGGCACUCGGGUCGACUAUGCUUCGGUCGCUCACCCCCAGUCGAAUGGGCAAGCAGAAAGAGCAAACAUCCUAAUUCUCAAAGGACUAAAACCUCGAUUGAUGUGCGAUCUCAAGCACGCAGCAGGUGCAUGGGUCGACGAGCUUCCAUCAGUCCUUUGGGGAUUGAGGACAACCCCGAAUCGAUCGAUCGGAAGAACCCCAUUCUUCCUGGUCUACGGAGCCGAGGCAGUCUUACCGAGUGACCUGCUUCACAACGCUCCCCGAGUCGAGCUCUACUCUGAAGAUGAAGCAGAACAAGCCCGGCAGGACGCAGUCGACCUCCUAGAAGAAGAAAGAGAAAUGGCCUUGAUUCGAUCGACCAUCUAUCAGCAAGACUUGCGUCGAUUCCAUGCCAGAAACGUGAAGAGCCGAGCCUUCCAAGAAGGAGACUUAGUCCUCCGAGUGGAUCAGCAGAAACCACACAAGCUCGCUCCUACUUGGGAAGGCCCCUUCAUAGUCACCAGAGUCCUCCACAAUGGAGCAUACCACCUCUACAAUGUCGAUCGCCAGAUUGAUGAGCCACGAGCCUGGAAUGCGGAGCUACUCCGCCCCUUCUAUACUUGAAUCCUCACUCGGAUGAGAUGUAAUAAGAAAAACUCCUGUAGAUUAUUUAUCAAAUACAAGAGCGUUAUAAUUUUCCCAGUGAGUAUUAUUGUUUUUGUUUGCGUAAGAAAUCCCCCAGUGGGUGGCUUAGCUGCGGAUCCGCUUCGCCUAAGUUUGUAAAAAUAGUUUCCUACCGAGUGGCGAGCCAGCCUCCCACUCGGGGGCUUAGCUGCGAAUCCGUUUUGCCUAAGUAUUUAAAAAAUCCUACCGAGUGGAGAGAAACCUCCCACUCGGGGGCUUAGCUGCAGUCUAGUACUCGCCUAAGUUCUCUCACUUGGAGACUUAGCUGCAGUCCGGCACUCGCCUAAGUUUGAAAAAAUCCUACCGAGUGGAGAGCAAUCCUCCCACUCGGGGGCUUAGCUGCAGUCCAGUACUCGCCUAAGUUCUCUCACUAGAGACUUAACUGCAGUCCGGCACCCGCCUAAGUUUGAAAAAAUCCUACCGAGUGGAGAGAAAUCCUCCCACUCGGGGGCUUAGCUGCAGUCCAGUACUCGCCUAAGUUCUCUCACUUAGAGACUUAGCUGCAGUCCGGCACUCGCCUAAGUUUGAAAAANNNNNNNNNNNNNNNNNNNNNNNNNNNNNNNNNNNNNNNNNNNNNNNNNNNNNNNNNNNNNNNNNNNNNNNNNNNNNNNNNNNNNNNNNNNNNNNNNNNNNNNNNNNNNNNNNNNNNNNNNNNNNNNNNNNNNNNNNNNNNNNNNNNNNNNNNNNNNNNNNNNNNNNNNNNNNNNNNNNNNNNNNNNNNNNNNNNNNNNNNNNNNNNNNNNNNNNNNNNNNNNNNNNNNNNNNNNNNNNNNNNNNNNNNNNNNNNNNNNNNNNNNNNNNNNNNNNNNNNNNNNNNNNNNNNNNNNNNNNNNNNNNNNNNNNNNNNNNNNNNNNNNNNNNNNNNNNNNNNNNNNNNNNNNNNNNNNNNNNNNNNNNNNNNNNNNNNNNNNNNNNNNNNNNNNNNNNNNNNNNNNNNNNNNNNNNNNNNNNNNNNNNNNNNNNNNNNNNNNNNNNUAGAGACUUAGCUGCAGUCCGACACUCGCCUAAGUUUGAAAAAAAUCCUAUCGAGUGGAGAGAAAUCCUCCUGCUCGGGGGGCUUAGCUGCAGUCCAGUACUCACCUAAGUUCUCUCACUUAGAGACUUAGCUGCAGUCCGGCACUCGCCUAAGUUUGAAAAAAUCCUACCGAGUGGAGAGCAAUCCUCCCACUCGGGGGCUUAGCUGCAGUCCAGUACUCGCCUAAGUUCUCUCACUUAGAGACUUAGCUGCAGUCCGGCACUCGCCUAAGUACGAAACACAUCUCAAUCCUCAAGGACGACGAGGGGCAGGUCGACUACCACCUUCCCCUGGAUAGCUUCGCCACAAAUACAAUGCGCGAUUCAUCCCGCUCUACAGUAACGAAGUGCGGGUCGACUGCCACCUUCUCCUGGAGAGCUUCGCCACAAAUACAAUGUGCGCUCCGUCUCGCUCUACAAUAACAAGGUGUGGGUCGACCGCCGCCUUCCCCUGGAGAGCUUCGCCACAAAUAUGAUGCGUACUCCACCGCCGACCUGCAAGGGCGACAAGACAUGGGUCGACUGCUUCCCUCUCCUUCGGAGCUGCGCUGCGAAUACAAAAGUUGUCUUGAAUGGAGAAUGGGUUCACUCAGCAGGAGAUUCAUAAAGAUAUUCAACGGUAAACCAAGUUCAGAUAAAUUCUAAAUGUCCCGGAUCACAGAUCGAAGUACUCGGGCAUGCAGCCCGAAAAAGUUUAAAUGGUUACAAAAACCACUCAGCAUUCCGAGGCAAAUUUAAGGUGGGACAUAAGAGUUUGUUCACUCCGCGGGAGGAGGAUUGGCAGGCUCGACGAACUCGUCCAGGUCGACGCCAUCGGCAAUCUGAGUGGCGGCAGCAAUGAAAGUCUCCAUAAAAGUUUAGAAGUCGUGCUUCUGGGUGUUGGUGACCUUGAUUGUGGCCAGCUUAUCUUGUCGCACCUCCUUGCAGUGGACACGAACCAAAGACAGAGGCACAUCAGCGCCACACCGAGCAGAAGACUUCUUCCACUCCAGCACUCGGUCAGGGAUUCCGUUAAGUCGAGUCAUCAGAGACUCAAGAUCGUUUUGGAGUGUGGCAUCUAGCCAAAGUGCCGGGUCGAUCCGUGACAUGGCGACCUUCAGUCGAGCCAAGUAGUCCACGGCACUGUCGAUGCGAGAUUCCAGACGGAGCAAAUUCAUGGCAGUUUCAUCUUUCACGGGAGAGUUGAUUGGAUCCAAACCUGGUUCGAUCCGCCCAGUCUCCUCUUCAAAGUUCUGGCAAAACUCUGCAUUCACGAUCCAAGGAUAAGUCAAUUUUCAUACACUGAGUCGACACAAAAAAAA